AAAUUAAUUUUGCUCCUUGCACAUGCAUAUAAAUUCUUUCAGCCUGUUAUAUAGAGGUAUCUACAAUUGUUGGAUUUUAUCCUACUUUGCAGCCAUGGUAUGUGCUUAUUUAAUGAAUGGAAUUUUGACAAUUUCUCUUUGGCAGUAACAGACUGUGGUUAGUUGAAACAUUUAUCAUUAUCUUUUGAACACGAAAUGUUCAUUCGAUGAGUCAGAACAUAUAAACAUGAUAGUAUGAUAAAGGAGAGACAUGUGGUUAGAUGGAAAAUCACAUUUUUCCUUAUAUUUUCAACACAUAACAUUCAUUCAAUGAGUCAGAACAAAUAAACAUAAAUGUAUGAUAAGAAAGAGCCCUGCUAGGAUGAUGAAACAUAAGAUGUUCUUCACACUGAAUUACUUUUGUCAUGGAUGGGUUAAAUUUUCUUUUAUGAAGGAUUUGGUUGUUGUUUACAGAUGAGCUCAAGGCAUCAUAUGUAUCCCUAAAAGAAAACACACAAUGACAUUGUAUUAGUCAGUGUGUCACUCCGCUUUCAUGUCUUAGUAAUGGCUGCAUGGACUCAUGCAAUCAUGGGCAUUUCCUUGGGAACACAUUUGUCAUCUUAAAACAAACUUUUCAGUUUCAAACUCCCAGUAGAAUGGCCAUAUAUAUAUACAGUCCCGAUCAGAGGUGCACGUCCGCACCGGCCUUAAAGUGCGGACGUCCCUCCGUUCUCCACCGUCCGGCGCCGAUGACGGCACGUCUCCCACCCCAGCGGACUCCAACAGCGUCCCUGGCCACUUUCCCUCCUAGGCGAGUCCGUUGAAUUCCAGUUUUCCAACGAGAUCACCCAAAACUUCAAACAAAGUCGAUCUCGCCGGAAACUGGAAUUCGGCGGACUCAUCGGGGAGGGAAAGUGGUCAGGGACGCCGCUAGAGUCCGCUGGGGUGGAGGCGCGCCGUCGUCGGCGCCGGACGGUAAAGAAAGGAGGGACAUCCGCACUUUAAGGGCCGUGCGAACGUUCGCUCUCGAACAGCUCUGUAUGUGUGUGUGUUUGUAUACAUAUAUAUAUAUAUAUAUAUAUAGUUCCCUUCAUGUCCCGCUUUGAAAUUAAAGUGUGGACCUCCUUAUUUCUCUCAUUUUUCAGGUCGCAUUUCCACAUCUCAACCGUACAAUGUCUAGAACACAGUGUGUAGAUCAUUCCUGCAAAGUUUCAUCCAAUUUGAAGAUCAUUUGGGUACCGAAUUAGAUUAAAUAAAUUAACAGAACAAAAACUGUCCAAACUGAACCGUUCGUGUAAAUCACGAUUACGGAAGCUCAAAUGAUCUUCAAAUUGGAUGAAACUUUACAUAAAUGAUCUACACACUGUGUUCUAGACAUUGUACGGUUGAGAUGUGGAAAUGCAACCUGAAAUGAGCGAAAUAAGGAGGUCCACACUUUAAUUUCAAAACGGGACACCGCUCUGGAAGAGAACUGUGUGUGUAUAUAUAUAUGUACAGGGCCCACACCAUUAGAUUUGUUUUUUAAUGGGCUUGGAUGGCUGAGAUUAAAACAAAAACUUAACACUUAUGUCAAACCUACACCGUUCAAGAUUAUUAAAAAUAAAUCAAACAUUUGGAUGACUUAACGGUCACCAAAUUUUCUGAAAAUUUGCAGAAAUGAUCUACUCAUAUACAUCUACAAAUUGAACGGUGUAGAUGUGAUUUAGUGAUUGGGAAGUUUAUCAAAUACCCUAUCCCUAAAAAUGAACAAAAAAAGGAUCCCUCAUUGGAAGGGCCCUCAUACAUAUAUAUAUAUAUAUAUAUAUAUACACACAGUCCGGAUCAGAGGAGGACGUCCGCACGNNNNNNNNNNNNNNNNNNNNNNNNNNNNNNNNNNNNNNNNNNNNNNNNNNNNNNNNNNNNNNNNNNNNNNNNNNNNNNNNNNNNNNNNNNNNNNNNNNNNNNNNNNNNNNNNNNNNNNNNNNNNNNNNNNNNNNNNNNNNNNNNNNNNNNNNNNNNNNNNNNNNNNNNNNNNNNNNNNNNNNNNNNNNNNNNNNNNNNNNNNNNNNNNNNNNNNNNNNNNNNNNNNNNNNNNNNNNNNNNNNNNNNNNNNNNNNNNNNNNNNNNNNNNNNNNNNNNNNNNNNNNNNNNNNNNNNNNCAUCCAAUGGUGUACAUGGUCUAAAUUGACUAAAUUUUCAUCUCUUAUUUGCACGCUGAAUAUUUAUAUGAAACUUCAGUAAAUUUAUAUAUGUUGUAACAACUUAUGGAGCCACCCUAUCACCAAAGGAAAAAAAAACAGUAUUAAAAGCUUUAGGUGGUUUGUAUUGUCUUACCUCAGCCUUCUGAUGUUAGAAACUAGAUGAAUCACAUGUCUGGGCAUCUUCAAGAUCUCAGUGGUCAUAUGUUGAUGUUUUUUGAAAUAGGAAACAGAAGAUGUUUUGUACAUCAGACUAAGUUUGUAUUAGAAGUAUUGAUGUUUUAUUGCCACUGAAAGGUUUUUUUUUUUCCCUCAAAGGAACAGAUAACCUUACAACACGUUCAAUUUCUCUUCCACAGGAUGGCCAUUCUAAUUUUUAAUUGGAAAAGGAAAUAGUUGGAAAACAUUUUUGUGACUCAAACGAACCCUUGCCGUUAUCAUUUACCUUUAUAAGAAAAGUUGUUAAUGAUAGCGUAGUUGAAAUUUUAAAGGGUGUGGAGUUAGAUUGCUACAGUAUGAUCAUAAAAAUGUGUUCAGACUUGAGAGUUGUAUGCACAGUAGCCAUUAUGAGAUCGAAAUAUGCUACACGAAUUCAGUUAAGGGUAUGCACAUGAUACUAUGUUUUGUUCAUGUGUUUACACAUUUGUGAGUGGACCAUUGCUUUGAUCAUGUAUACACUUUUCUGUUACCUACGAUGAAAUUGUGUUUGGACCAUUAUUUACUUUUAGUAAUGACAAUGGUUUGUCCAUUUUGCAUUGGCUUAUAUAAAUUAGAAUGUAGACUAACAUGCCUCCGUAUCAGGUGUACGUAGAAGCAUUCACCUGUCCCUGUGUUAGAUUCCACCCUUUCGAACAAUCGUUUGUUGCCCAGUCAAAUGGUAAUUAUAUCGCAAUCUUCUCUGCAAGCCCUCCCUUCAAGAUGAACAAGUACAAGAGGUACGAAGGCCAUGGGGUAUCAGGGUUUCCAAUAAAAUGUGUGUUUAGCUUGGACGGGGAAAAGCUACUGUCAGGCUCCUCAGAGGGUUCAGUAUACUUCUAUGAUUAUGGGACUUCUGAGGUUAUCAAGAAAAUCAAGGCAUUUGAGCAGGCCAGCAUAGAUAUUGCUGUCCACCCAAUCAUACCUAAUGUGAUUGCUGCUUGCAGUUGGAAUGGAGAAGUUUCUGUGUUUGAGUGAGAUGUUCAUCUAAACUUUUUCCAUUGCAAGGCAGUCUUUGUUUUUCUAAGAGAGAUCGAUGCAGAUGGAUAUAAGUCUAUAACUAGAAAAUGAAAAGGACAUACAACUGCGCAAAGAACUUUUGCUUGUAUUGUUUUCAUAUCUACCAGGUAACUACAUAUUUAGGAUUUGAAUCUUAUUGUUGUGUACUGCUCCAGCGUUUGUGGGUUUGAUUUUCGUCUUGUAGAUCUUUUAUCCUAAAAAGCUAGGCUAAAGAGGUCAUGUCACUUUUGUAUUUCACAUCAUACACAGUGUUUGAUAACCCUUUAUUUGGAACUCCUUCAAGUAAUGCUUUCGUUCAGUACAUGAUUUCUCUGCAAGCGCUGACAUUUUUAUCUUGUUGAGUUGACACUCGUCAAAUAGGCUUUGUGUAUGAUGCAAUCAAAGAGGCCAUCAUCAACGACAAUUCAUGGGUAAGUUUUGACAUUGAGCCAUUGGGGACUAUAGUAGCUAUUCAAAUCAGAGGAAAAUUUAGUCAUGUUGCAAAUGCUGUGUCGCGCACUAGCAGCCGGGAAAUUUUGAAGACUAAUCAGUUUGAUAAAACUUUUGAUCUUCCUCUCAGAUCUCCUGUAGUGUUAGACCCCAGUGCAGUGUUGAACUCGCAAGUUUAGUCAUCUCUAAUGGGUGCUACAACAAAAAUGGUAAGUUCUAAAGGCUUCCAUAGUCAGUAUAAGGAUCACCUUGUGGUACAAAUCUUGAUGAAGUCCUCAGUAUAACAUUGGUGUUUGACUCUUUUAAUUUUCUUUUUCUUUUUAAUUCGGAAAGGAAUCCUCCAAGUGCAAUAACAUGGAUAUGUUCUAGAUAUUUUCCACAAUCUAGAAUCAAAGUUGAAGAAAAUAAACUGAAGCUGUUGUAGGUUCAUUGCUGUCAGGUAUAAUGCAAUCUGGCAUUCUGGUGCUGCAGUUCAUGAUCAAAAUGGAUGUCCAGAUGCUCUUUACUCAUACCUACCAAUCAGGAACAGAAACAUGAUUCAAUUAAGAAAGAUGUGUUGGGGUAUACUCAGAGCUCUGCCUUUGUUCAUCACCCACCACCUCCCUUGACAUUCAACAAGAAGAGAAGAGGGGAAGGGGGGCCAAAAGUAUACUAAAACAAGACACAAUUAUGCAAUCCCCUUUUCAUUCUUCAUGGGGGUCAAUUGCAAAGGGGACAUAACACACCACUUCUCUCCCUUUUUAGAUGCAUUUGCAAAUGGGACCAAACCCCUCUAAACCCCCAUCCUUCAACACCACCUCCACAACAACCACAAACACAAAACACAUACACAAACAGAGUAGACAGAAGCACAAACCCAAAGCACAAUUCCAAGUCAAAAUUCAAACCAAUUCUCUCACAAAAUUAAUUAAAAAAAACAAAGCAUGCUUCUAACUCCAAAUUUAUUCCAUACCACUAUCUAGACAGACCAGCAAUUGCUCAAAAACAUUCUUGGUCCACCUGCAACCCCCUCCUCUCAAGAACUGUUUGUAUUGGAAAACUAUAGGAGUCAUCCCUAAUCCCUUUUAAAGCAAAGGAACACAGUCAUGCCAACCCUACUUUCCUAUCUACAUUACUUAUUUAAUUUCAACCUUCAUAUCAGUAUGCUCCCCACCUUAAUUGGUCUCAACUCAAGCACCUUCUUCUUCCUCUUUCCCUCUCUACAAUCUAAUCUAAUCUUGCUAGCUAACUCCCAUAUCUCUCUCUCUACAUACUUGUCACUUCAUACCAUUAUUUCAAGAAGCAAAGAAAGCUAUCUAGCUUAGCUCAAAAGUAACAAGCAAAGAAAGAAAACUCUAAAGUAUGGCACUACUACUAUUACUCCCAUAUGAGAGCAAUCAUCGUCUAAAAGAGAUACUUCUUUUUGAGAAAAAGGAAGAUUUUUUUUAUUUGGUACUUGUGGUCAAGCGGGUAUUCGCUCAUCGAGGGACCCUAGAGUUUGCCUAUCUUGAGACAUGAAACGAUGGGUUGAAUGGUUUUCACCAAUUAGAAAGAUAUCUAUGUGUUGAAUUAGGGUUUUAGGAUUGGACAUGAACUCCAUGGUCUUAAUCAAUUUUGAUUAUGCCAUUGCUUUUGAUUAGGGAACCAAAGACACCAUUAUUGGGAAUCUAAGAUCAUGCUUAACGAUGCAUAAUCGCUGCUUUGGAAUCACAAAACUAAAUCAAACCCUAGCAGCUAGAUAUACAUUAUUAAUGAACAUAUAUUAGUCACCCUCAUCAUCUUUUUGUGCCAUAUCUUUCUUUCGACGAUGAGGACUCUUUCUUUCUUCUUUGAUGAUCCAUCUUGUCGUGUUUUUCUUCAACUUUAGAUGAAUGUAGUUUAUCCUCUCCUACACUAUAGACAGUGUAGACCAUAAUCAAAAUGUUUUGUUAAUUUAGGACACAGAGUGUUAGAAAUUAUCAUCUUCCAAUUGUGGCCUUGCAAAGUAGCCGACAGACUCAUAUUUGUUGGCAUUACCAUGUGAUUUGUGACCUCAACCAAGUCAUGCAUCAAUCGAUUUUCAUUGGUUUCUCGUUUUCUAAUAAACAUUUCAUCAACUGUGAAGGGGUGUACAUCAGGAUCAGUAAGGUGCCUCAUUCUCACAUUUCAUUACAUUGCUAUAAUUUUAAGCAAAUUUAGUUACUAAAUGAAGCAUCAAAACUAUAAGAAUGAGGAAUGUAGCUGCUAAAAACCGAAUUAAAACCAUAAUUCAACUAUAUAUGUUUUAUUCAUUGAGGACCAAAUAUAGAGAUCACUGCUUAUAUAUCUGCUGUAGCAUUCACCAAAUUUCUCUCACCCUAGCUAGUUAUCCUGGACAAUCAUGAAACCAACUUUAACUGGUUGGUUUAUGCUCUCAUUGGAUUAAGAAAUGAAUUUAAACAGUCACAUUAUAAAUAUAUUGGGAAACCACCAAUCAUGAUUUUGUGAAAUGUCAUGUUCUUAUUCCUCUUCCCAAUUAGGAAGUAUUCCUUUUUAGGUCUUCUGUGUAGGUGAUAUAGCCAUUAAGAUCUAGUGAUGGCUUUUUCAUGCAUUUUAUUUAGAUUACUACCUCUUUUAUCAUGUCUUAGAAUGCUAUGCUCCACAGCCAUGAAAAAUAUGAUUGAGCAUAAGUGUAAACCUCUGGCUAAUAUUAAACAAGAGAUUUCUAAUUGCAAUCAUAUCUUAGAAAGCUAAAUAGCCGAGAUUAUGUCACCGGUUGAAGCCAAGAGUCGGCAAAACUGAAUCCAGCUAGAAUCCAAUUAAAUUGGAUUUAUGUUUGAUUAAGCAUUUUAAUUUCAUCAACUUUUUGAAUUAUAGUAAUGAUGUUCAUGCAGAUCAUGACCAAAGAAAUACUGUUCAUGCAGAGAAUGCAUGAAGUGAUUUAGUCAACUAUAAGAUCUCAGCUUAUUUAUUAGGUGGUUCCUGUAAUCCUGUAUAUAUAAUAUAGGCUUAUAGCUUGGUUUACUGUUAUCCUUAUCUCUAAAAUAAAAAAUAAAAAGAUUGCUAGCUGGCCUGGAAAUUAAACUAAGAAACCAAGAGACUGGGACAAGAUAAUCAAAUUUUCAAUUGUCAAUUAAACCAAAUCGCGGGUUAAUACCAGUAGCAAUUAGGUAAUUAGUAAUACCACACACAUGAAUCGAAGUUCAACCCUAGUUUCUGUAUUUUUAUGCUUAAAUUUUUUCGUUUUUCUAACUUAGCCGUCUCUAGGUUUCAAGAGCAGGUUUCAGUGAUCAAAGAAAUAAACCUGUUUUGUUCAAGGCUUUAUACAUCUUUUUCAAUUUUAUCAUUAGUAGAUCACUCAAACUUAUAUUGUACAUAUAUUGCAAUACCGUAAAGACGAUUAAACGUUCGUCGAGUAAAAAAAUAGUUCCAGGGACCGACUUACUUUCUUACCUGAGACUCUGAGAGAAAAGGAGGAAGAUACAGUAGAUACUAUAAUACUGAAACGAGAGAUUAGUCAAUAUAUACAUGUAUCCAGGGGAUUAAGGGAAAGUGUUGUUAGAAUCUUAGAUAUUGUAUUGUAUAACAUAAUGCUUAAUAUAUAAGAACAGACUCAUGUAUCACAUGUACCGUGGAUUAUAUCAAACACUUAAGCAACUAGCUAGUAUUGGAUUACCAGUCUCUCUAGCUAGCUAGGAAUAUGAUCGACUUGAAAGAAAGAUGAUAUUGCAGAUCGAAUUAUAUAUGAAUAUGGAUUAGGUCUGGUUUGUAAGUCAAGUCAUGGGCACGUACGUACACCAAUAAUUCUCUCCAUCUGGAUUGUUCGACCAGGUGGGGGAUUGACUUAGUUGCAGAAAAACAUCAUGAACAGUGUCCCCUAAUUUCUGGGGCACUUGACCGACAAGAGUGCACAAACAGCUAGCUUCACUCUGCUUCUGGAUAAAGACCGGCCUUUACAUUAUCACCAUCAUCCAUGGAAGAAACAGAUUACUAUUAUUGUAGCAGGUGAAGCUCCCAUUUCUCUUACCAGUAAAAUCACAGUCACUGUAUCAAAAUUAUCAACGAAAGUGAAAGAAAAACCAAACAAAAGGCCAAAGGUUUCGGCACCAUUUCUUCUUAUAUGGGUACAGAGUGAGAUCACAGAUAAGGACUACACAGAUCAAAUAUGGGCAUUGCAGAUCCAUCUUGGUACGACUUGAUGGAACAGUGGAAAAUCCGAUAGAGAUUGUUGAAGCUUUUUCUGCUUGGUUCAUGCAUGACGUGGUGGCCAUGGCAUCAUAUAUUUUGCUAAAGCUGUUUAGCUAGAUAUCCAUUCCGCCUUUGAAUGAUGUUUUUCUCUUUUGCUCUUUGUCUUCAUGUUUCCUUUUUUUCUUCUUCCUUUUGAUUUAGGGGUGCAUGUGAUUGAUCAAGGACAUGCCCAAAGGAAAGCAAAGCAAAGGGGGUGGUACAAGCCAAGUACUGGAAAUAAUUCAAGUUACUACUACCUCUCGCCAAUUUUUCGUUUUAGUGGACAAUGUCACUUCCAUUUUACCUUUCUGCAUAUGAUCAUGAUGAUCUUCUUGUCUGCCAAUUUGUGUGUGAGACACUGUAACCGUACGUGUCGGCUAGUGAAAGAUAACACAAACUAGCUACUAUAUAUAUCUCCUACAAGAUUUGGAAAAAUAUAGACAGGGAAUGGUGCUGGAUAUAUUGAUCGAUCUUUAUAGCCAUUUCCCCAUUAAGUUUGAUCCUACGCCAUAUCCUUAGUUUUCUUAGGGAAGUAUAUAUAUCUAAAGACGUUUCCAGUAUUAUAGCACAUUAGCCUUUUCUUUUAGCAUGGUCGAUCACAAGAGAGUGAGCUAAUCCGUUGAUCAAUUAUGUUAUACUUCAGAGCGCUUGGAGAACUUGUUUUUUCGAAUAGGUUUUUGUGCACUAAGAAAUAGCUCCUUCUGCCGAGUGCCGACCCUUUUGGGUGAGCUUAUUUUGUACUGCUCGCUCAAAUUAUCAAUAUAUUUUUGACCUGUUUAAAAAAAAUUUGCACAUAGUAAUUAGUUUAAUUGAUUGAAAAUAUUGUUAAGAAAUUAAAAGGAACAUAUUAUGAGUAAUAUAAAGUCAGUUUCAAAUAUUUGACAAAAAAUGCUUUUAAUAUUUUUUUUUUUUAAAAAAAAACAGACCUUGUUAAUGUUAGACAUUGCUUAGACUAACCGAUCGAAGAGGCUGAAAUCUACCUAAUACACAAAAAGGGUCUAGAUGGCCACCUAAAGAAUUUUACAUAAAAAAGGUCUAGGUGGCCGCGUAAAUUUUGUAGAAACGUACGUACAAGCGUUUUACAUGAAUUUGUAUGCAUGGAAGAGAAGCAGUUUCUGUUUGUUUAAUUCAUUUCAAGUCGAUCUGGAGAAUUUGAGGACGUUCCUGACUUGAGGUUUAGUUGGACAGAAUAUGAUAUUGCAUAGUUCAAUAUGAAACAAAACAAAAAUUAAUAUCCAAAUAUGAGCAGUCAAAUUUCUUGAUUUGUUGUUUGGUUUAUGGGUUACCUAUAAAAUUAUUCUUUCUAAUUGUGUUCUAUAAUGGGUUAGUUCUCAGACUUCUAUCAAAUGAAAGGAAAUUGAGGAUAAGAAAUCAUGCAUAUAUUAGUGUGCGUGAUGAAACGUCAAAAAUUCAAGAUUGAUGUACUGACGUUUAUGAUGAAGGGCUUUGCAUGCGUUCACUUACCUCAAGAAAAGACCCUUUAAAGUCUGAAAAGGAAAAAUGAGAGACAAAAAUCUGUACCCUAAUAUGUACAAUUUUCUUCGUGCAGCUGGACAAUUCAUUUGGAACAAUUAAACUGUAAACAUAUGUAAUAAUUGAACCAGCAGCUAGUACCUGAUCCAUAUUCUGUUCCCUGUAGAAUUGGAUUUAUCGAUUACAAGGUACUUAAUUAUUUUGUUUGCUUCUAGUCUUUUCAUUAUUAUUGACAUGAUAUAUGCUUUAAAUCCUUCAAAUAAUUGAGACACCGAUAAACAAAGUCAAUACUUUGACAUGACAAAAAACACGUUUGAUGUAAUGCCAACUCAAAACCCAUUGCUUGUUUAAUUAUUUGCUCCAGUAACUGAGAUUAUUCACACACCAUCGUUUUUGCAAAGGUCUUUCUGAUUCUCCUUAGUUUAUUUUUUAUUUUUCGAAUUAUAUUUCUUUUAAUUUAUUUUCUUUUGUCAAACAACUGACAGUCUUUUUGCAUUUUCAGAGAACAACUAUACGUCUUUUUGAUAUUUAAACCAGUAUUUUUCCGUUAUAGAUGUUCUGCAGAAAAUCCGAGGGUUGUUAUGAAUGUUAUGAUCUUGAGAGGGACAACAGGAUUAUAUAUUAUAUCAGCUGGCAUGGCUAGGUUUUGCAGGAACUUAAUCGGAGGGUUAAGAUGAUCUUGAGAGGGACAAUUCAGGAUUAGGGUUUUUGGAGCUUCGAAUCUUCUGGCUAGCUUCUGCAGCUUUUUGAAGAAUAUGCAAGUGCCACAUGUUUUUCCUGCGUUCAACAUUGUCUCACAAACCCUCAUCAUUUUGUUACUCGAUUACUUUUUCACCUAUAAUUCAUGAGCUGUAAGUUCUUGGCCUCAUGAACCCUAAAGCGUUAGGGUCCUGAGCUCCAUCAUUGCACGAAUAGGAAGCUGUGCUUUUUCACUUCCAGUUGCAGUGGCCGUAGCAGGGUUCAAAAGCCAAAAACCUUACCAUGUAAACCACGAGCUUUAACUUGAACAGUAAAACAGGCAUGCACAAUCUCCCAGAGCCCACUCCACACUCCUGGAGUGUCGGAGACUCCGACACGCCGACACGGUAAAAUACGUGUCCGACACGUCACGUGGAGUGUCCGAAAAAGUUGACUUUUCGGACACGUCUUGGACACGUUGACCGACCCCGACACGGCAUUGCGACACGCCAUGUCAGCAUUUCAGAUUUUUUUAUUUUAUUUUUUAAUUUUUUAUAAAAAAAAAUGUAAAAUUUCUAUUCAUUUUAGAGAAAUUUUAAAUACACACUCCUAAUAUCUUAAUACACACCCUUGCUUAAUACACCAUCUAUCAAGUUUUUUAUUUCAGUAUUAUACUUAAUACACAUCCUAAACUACCUAAAAUGUCCUUAAUUUAUGAAAUUAUUCUAUUAUUUAAUAUAAUUAAUAUAUGUACUAUUUGGUGCCUCUUUUUACAUAUUAUUUCGUCUAAUUUUUGCUAGAAAUUUUUGGCUAUCAUUGUUCAAUUUAUAAUCAAAUGAUUAUUGUUAUAUCCCAACUCUAAAUCACCAAUACAAGUUUUCAAAAUUCACAAGCUAGUAGAUCUGUAGAAGUACAGUAGCUACUAAACAUAGCUAUCUAGUUAUUUGAUAAAACAUGCCAUGAUAAAGAUGUAGUACAUGACAAUAUGAUAUGCAAGAUCAAAAUAAAGCUGAUACAGAUAAAAUAAAAUAUAUAUAUAUAUAUAUAUAAAAGACAACCCAAAUGAAUCGUGCAUAAGAGUUGGGGUUAGGAGAGAAAACGUGCUUUCGACAAUUUUAGGGUAAAAGAUUGAAAAGAAUACUUCUAGUGUGAAUUUUUUUUUUUUUUAAUAAUAGAUGUUUGUUUUGGUCAUUUAGCUUACCUAUAAAAUCUUAAUAGAAACAUAAAAUAAUAGAGGUGUGUAUUAAGAGAUUAGGGGUGCGUAUUUAAAAUUUCUCUUCAUUUUAUAUUAGAUCAAUUAUGGAAUAACAAGUUUGGAUGGAUUAUGGAUAUGAUAAUUAUAUUAGUUCAUCUUCUCGUCUAUUAGGUGUUACUGUACUAGAGAUUGCCUUGUUUGAAAACAAGUUACUGCUCAAGUUUGUUUUUCUUUAAUAUUAUAUUUUAGAUGUUAGAGGUCUGCUGUUUUUAAUGUUAUUAAUUAUGCACUUGACUUAUUUCUUAUGGUUAUGAAAUAGAUUGAAUUUAGAACUUUAUUUGAUAAUGUAAUGAAUUUAUUUCAUAUUUUUUAUUUUUUAUUUAUUAAAAAUACAUAAAUAUAUAAUUUUGUUGCCGUGUCCAAGCCGUGUCGGAAACUCAGUUUUUGAGUUUUGCCGUGUCGCCGUGUCGUGCCGUAUCGUGUCGCCGUGUCCGUGUCCGUGUCCGUGCAACUUAGCCCAGAGCCUUGCCUCUUUUUACCCAAAGAUUAAUAAUUACUGGACCCAAAAAAAAGUUGCGUGUGUUUAAGGAAUAGUUACUAACUUUGAAGCCCUAAACAGCCAAUUAGGUUGGAGUCAAGCCUCAAAGUACUUAAUACGAUCAUAUUGAAUAUUAUGCAUGGGUGGUUACCACAAAGUAGUGUGAAAUUAAGACAGCAGGAUCCUGGCUUAGCGAUACGUUAAUUAUUCCUCUCUUUUACAUAUGUGUUUGUGCUGUCAGUGACAAUUUUUUCCAUGUUACACCCAAAGGGCAACAUGAUAUUAGGGACCACAAUUUGGGUCUCUUAAAGUUAAUCCUGCCUUAAUUAAAAAGCUAUAAACCAAAAAUCCAGGUUCUCAUAUAUGUUAUCUUUGCUAGCUGUUUAAUUAGCUGGAGUACUGCUUGGCUACUUAAUUAUAUAUUAAAACGUCGAUAAUUAAACAAAGUGGCCGGUUUUCAUUAUCUGCCUAACUAGCCAUGCCAUUUACAAGAUCUUCAUGUGAAAGUAUAUAUCUGCCCCCGCAGAUCUCAUUAACAUGAUUCAACAAUGUGAACAUCAUUCAUUCUACGUAGUAUAUAUAUAGUUGUCCAUGCAGAUUUUUUAUAGACACUUCACUACGUACCUAAAUGAAUAUCUAUCUGUACAUAAAACAAUUAGAUAUGCUAUCAUUGAGAAAUUUUAACCAUGCAUGCAUGUACCUUGGUGCUAAAGUAAAGUUCCUUUUUCGAGUUGAAUAUAUGUGUUACCCCGAAUGCGGAUGAAUCAUCUGGGAGAGAAAGUCUUGGUUUGAUUAAUACCCAAAACACCUCUUGGUUUUCAUAAAUUAAUAUCAAAGUUGUUUGCGAUGACACUAAUAACAUUGCAUACAUACCUUAGAUUUUACUACCAUAUCUCUUUGGAUCCAACUCAUUUCAACAUUGAUAUACAUGUAAAACUAUCAGGGAUACAUUAACUAAAGAUUCAACAUGUAUAUGAGGCGGCAAACUCAAAAUCAGGACACAACCAUUUAAAAGUUAAAACUACAGAAUCCCUUGACAGCUUAGGUAACUUGUCCCAACAAUCCGCUGCAUACGAUAGAGAGCUCGGAUUGGUAUGAAGGUUAAUUAUUAUACUAUUUUGCCAAUCCCCGAUUGUUUUUGCACUGCAGAUCAUAGUUUAAUGGUCUCUUCGUCCCCCAUUUUUUCUUCUCGAGAUGUUAAAACAACAAAAAGAUCGAGAGGAACAAAAUGAAAUAUGAGCGAUAAUAUAAGGAAAGGGAGAAGUCAACGGUCAAAGAUCUGCAUUAGCGUCUAUGUCUCCCACACAGGCACCACGUACACUCCUCCGGCCGAUGAUAUGUAGAUUUGCAUUAACACACACAUUCUCUCUCUCUCUCUCUCACUGGAUCAUCGAUCAACAAAGUCCCCAAAAUCCCGAACACAAAACCCAAACACUCACACGAGAUCGCACGGAGCACUAUGCCCUCCCCACCUGGGAUCGGCCCUACCUGCCUCCUCGGUGCACCCGCCUCCACCCCCUCCCCUCCCACCACCACCCUCCAGCCAGUGGGCCCCCCGCUCUCCGGCCUCCUUCCUUCGCGUUUUCCCAGUGACCGUUUUUGCGUUCGAAGCAGAUUGUGCUGUCUUCCUGGCCGUUCGAUCACACUGCCGGUCGGGUCUUUUGGCGGGUCAAUGCGCCUCCGCGGGCGACACGUGAGGCUGGGUUUAUGGGCAAAAUGGCGGGCGAGACAAGGGACGCCUCAGGUGGGGCGAUGACACGUGGGUCAGCACGAGACAUUCCGGGCUAAUCGAUGAUGUUUUGCUCGCGUCAGCUUAAGUAGGGUUAUUUUCUUUUUCUUCCUCGUCGUCUCUAGGGUUUCGUUCUCUGGUUUUCCUUAGUUAAUUAGUUUUGUCAAAAUGAUCCCCCUAAGUAUAUAUUCAGAGAUAAUAUCAGUGUGUUUAUGCUGAACAAUGAACAUUAUAUAUGUAUAUAUAUAGCUACUCCUUGAUUAGUUUUUCUUUCGCGUUAAAGUUAUGAAAACAAAACUUGAUGAAAUACUUCAACUAAUUUUGUCGACAUUAAACAUAUGUCUAGAUGAUGCUCUUAAAUUAUGAUGCAAAAGCUUCUAGUUACUAUGACAAACAUAUGUUGACAUCAAACAUAUGUCUAGAUGAUGAUCUAUAUGUUACCAAAGUACCAACCAACGAGCUAGUAUGCCAAUUUUUAUUCUAAAGGAAAAAAAAGAUGGUGUAUGCCAAUCGAUUGUCGAUUUGAUUAGGUUAAUUCUCAUUUAUUUUGAGGAGUGAGGCUUAUGUGUGUAUCCCCUACUAAUUUUAGUAUUGCAACAAUGAACUUAGUGUCUACCAUGUAGUAGGCAUCGAACUGGAUAGUUAAUUACCCAACUUAUUAAAAAGGUCGACCAAAUGCCAACGUGAUCAGAACCAGAUAUGGAAGUGCCCAAACUAUGCUUCAUUCUUCUGGUCAUCAAAAAGUUUACAUUAAAAGAUACAAAGGAUUAACAACUCCAUAAAGAAAAACGGGUAAGGAUAAAGUCAAGACUAUAUACUUGAUGAGGAGGCCAAGCUGCAUCGUUUUCUCACUAUAUAUGUAGCAUUUGAAAGGUUAAGUUCGAUAAUGACGUGUGCUUUUAUCAUCUGCUUUUAGUAAAUAUAUAUAUAUCUAAUCACGUAUUAGCUAGUGUGAACGAGGUGGAUAAUCUGAUUAAUCUCCAAGCUAGGAAAUUAAAGGAAGUUUAAUUGCGGCUUUCUAUUGCAGUAUGCCGGAGUUUUCGUGCAUUGAUUGGGUCUAAACUCUAUUUGAAAGAAGUAAACAACAUUAAAUGGUGUAAACAGCUUUCAGUUAACUGUCUAUUUUUUCUCCGAUCCACUACUAAGUGUCUAAGUGUUAGGUUAACCAUUUUUUUAUUUUUUUUUUGAAAAUGGGAUGGGAAAACUCAGCCUAUUAAAAAGGCUCAGCUCUUUGCCCGUGACUAAGUGUCUAAGUGUUAGGUUAACUUUAAUUUGCUUGUAUUUGUAGUUUUAAUUUGAUCUCUAGACCCUCUUGAAGGAUGGAACAUUCUACAACGCAUAGGUUAAAGAGACGUUCAAGAAAUAAUUCCAAUAAAAAAGUGAUUUCACAUAUAUUCCAAUUAUAAAGCACCGUAUAUCAAAAUAACUUGUGAAGUUUACAUAUUCAAACACGUACUAGCUCUAUAUAUAUAUAUAUAUAUAUAUAUAUAUAUAUAUAUCGACAAACUAUAUGAUUCAUGAAAUAUACUAUCACACGUUGAACAUGAUUUAUAACUAAAUCAAUGUCAUCACCUAGAUAAUUGCACCUAAGCUUCCAAAAUUUACUUUCUAAUGUACUAGAAAUUUUUGUUUUCAUUUUAAAGAAAGACUAUAUUAACUAUGUUCUAUCUUUCUUUUUUUCUUUAUAAUGAACUCUGUAACGUUCUCUUCUUUUGCCGAUAAACAAAUGUCUAAAGUACAACCAUGCAUGUAGAAUAGCUAGUAAUGAGGUGAACGUUACUGGUAUUAUCAUUCAGGGAGUCAUUCUAAUAAGGACUUCUAUAAUGAGAACUAGUCGAUGACUUUUCGGUUCAUCCUACUUUUCGAUCUUAUAUCUACAUCUUAACCGUUCAGUUUAUAGGUAUUUAUGAGCAGAUUAUUUAUGCAAAAUUUCAGCCAUAUUGAAAAUUGUUAAGACAUUCAUAAGUGUGAUUUACCUAUUAUGAACUUGAAAUGUUCAUGUUUGACUGAUUUGGUUCGUCCAUUAAUUUGAUUUUGUUUGUUACCUUUACGAUCACCAAUUUGGCUGAAAUUUUGUAGAAAUGAUAUACUCAUAUAGACCAAAAAUUGAACGGAUGAAAUACCAAAAUUUGAUUGAAAAAUGGUUUUUUAAACCAUAAACCGAAAAGUCCUCAACUAGUUCUCAUUAUAUAGGUUCUCAUUAGAAGAGCUCCUUUAUCAUCCAUAUGUAGAAAAAGAUUGUUGAGGAAUAGAUCUUUUCCAUAUAAUACCAACAAAAAUUUACCGUAAUAAAAAAAUUUAAGGAGGUGCCGGCUUCUAAUAUUCGGUGUUUAGGGUUUAGGGUUUAGGUUUCUAAUAAUAUAAUUCGUCCUCAACUUAUUGUUGACCUUUGAGAAUAGUAAUAGCAUAAGGGGAGACCGAGGAGUAAGUGAAUAUGAUCGAUAAAUAGAGCUCUCAAUAACAAAUACACCUUAUCUAGGAAGAUACAAAUACAGUGCAUUUAGGCGACUAGUAUUAGUCAUGUAACAUCGAUCAUGUAACAUCGAUCAUCAUCAUCAUCAUAUCAAAAUGAAAAUAUUUCUAGUUAAGGCUUUGAUAGAAGACAUCGAUGAGAAGCAUACGACACAUUUUUAUGUGUCAGCAUACCAUGUCGUACGUUGUUUAUAAUCAUGUUCUAACCAUCUACAAUUGAAGUUAAUGAGGAUGUGAGCAUUCCUCCAACCAAUUAGCUCUGUUAACAAAAUUUAAGGCCAUCCUAGCUAUCUUCUUUCUUGAAGAUGGUGAGUGACCAAGCUGCAAAUGCUGUUUUACCAUAUGUGUAAGCAAAUUGCCGGAAUACUAGGCAAAGAAAGAACAAAAAUUGUUCAUGGCCCAUGAUAUAACUUAUCGGAAUAUUGAGAAAUCGCCUUUCAUGAAGUUUUUAAGUAUUGCUAACGUGAAAGGCAUAGUUAUCGAAGGUUUUAUAUUUGGCUUGCUUGCCGUAAAAUAGGUCAUUGUGAGUUGUGACUGUGACAUAGUCGUUCUGACCAUUGAAGUUCCGGCCGAUGAGAUAGUUGGACUGCAUGGAAACUCCAUGUUUUUAUGUGUCAAAUAAGCAUGUUCGGAAAAGAAAAACAAAAUGAUAAACCCAGGCUGCAUGUUGACGCUUCUGCCCUCCAGAAUACUAUGCUGUUUACUUUCUAAUCCCCAUUCCCCUCUCUCUGCUCCAUUCCUGGCUCUAUAUAUACUUCCCUCUGUCUUUCCUUUUCCCCCACACCAAAAACCAUCACUUCGGUUUUCAUUGCAGCCAUCUCCAUCACUCUCUCUUCUCCUCUGUCUCUCUCUCUCCCUCUCUCUAUAUCUCACAGACUAUCAAACCCAUCUCUUUCUCAUAUCGCUGUUUUCAAAACACCAACCAUGCCUGAAGCUCCCAAAAACUCUCUGAAAGAGAAGAACGAGAAGGCUCUCAAGUUCAUUGAGAGUGUCACAGAAAACGCUGAUGAGGUUCAGAAGCGUGUUCUUAGUGAAAUCCUAGCAGCAAAUGCUCAUGUUGAGUAUCUGCAGCGACACGGCCUCAAUGGUCACACUGACCGUGAGACUUUCAAGAAACUCAUGCCUGUGAUCACCUACGACCACAUCCAGCCGGACAUCAACCGUAUCGCAAAUGGCGAUACUUCCCAAAUCCUCUGCUCAAAACCCAUUUCGGAGUUCUUGACAAGGUUUGGAAUUAUACCUCGAAAUUCUGAGUUUUUUUUCGUCCUCUGUUUUUGGUAUCAUUUUGAUUUUCAUCUAAAUAUAUGGCCUUGUGUUUUUCCAUGUAGCUCUGGGACGUCUGGAGGUGAGAGGAAGUUGAUGCCAACAAUUGAAGAAGAGCUGGAGAGGAGGUCACUGCUUUAUAGCCUACUGAUGCCUGUGAUGAGCCAAUACGUGCCUGAACUAGAAACUGGGAAGGGAAUGUACUUUUUGUUCGUGAAAUCUGAGGCCAAAACUCCUGGGGGCCUUGUGGCUCGUCCAGUCCUCACUAGCUAUUACAAAAGCUCUCAUUUCAAGCAAAGGCCUUAUGACCCUUACACAAACUACACCAGCCCAAAUGAGACCAUUCUCUGCCCUGACUCCUACCAAAGCAUGUACUCCCAAUUGCUCUGUGGCCUUUGCCAGAACAAAGAAGUCCUCCGAGUAGGCGCUGUUUUCGCCUCCGGAUUUAUCCGAGCCAUUCGCUUUCUCGAGAAGCAUUGGUCUAUUCUAUGCAAGGACAUAGAAUCCGGGACUCUUAACUCCCAAAUCACCGACCCCUCUGUCCGGGAUUCAGUCUCGAAGAUCCUCAAACCGGACCCGAAGCUAGCCGGUUUCAUUGCCACUGAGUGUGGGAAGAAAUCAUGGCAAGGGAUCAUAACAAGGCUGUGGCCUAACACAAAGUAUGUGGAUGUCAUAGUGACUGGCACUAUGUCACAGUACAUUCCUACUUUGGAUUACUACAGCAAUGGGCUUCCUCUGGUUUGCACCAUGUAUGCUUCCUCUGAGUGCUAUUUUGGUGUCAAUCUCAACCCAAUGUGCAAACCCAGUGAGGUUUCUUACACCCUCAUUCCCACUAUGUGCUACUUCGAGUUCCUCCCUGUUAACAGAAACAAUGGGGUCAACUCCGAUUCGGUCUCUGUACCCGAAUCGCUUACUGAGAAGGAGCAGCUACAGCUGGUGGAUCUUGUUGAUGUGAAGCUAGGACAAGAAUAUGAGCUUGUGGUCACAACCUAUGCUGGUAAUUUACUUCUCUUGGAAUUUUCAUUAAACAGUUUAAUUUGUAAUAUUUGUGACUUGGGUUGGUGGUUAAAAUGGAUUUGGUGCUAUUUAUGUUACAGGGCUUUACCGCUACAGAGUUGGUGAUUUGCUAAGAGUGGCCGGGUUCAAGAACAAGGCUCCACAAUUCAACUUCAUCUGCAGGAAAAACGUGGUCCUUAGCAUUGAUUCAGACAAGACUGAUGAGGUUGAGCUCCAAAAUGCUGUGAAGAAUGCUGUGACUCAUUUGGUGCCAUUUGAUGCAAAUGUGGGAGAGUACACUAGCUAUGCUGACACUUCAAAAAUUCCAGGCCACUAUGUCCUCUUUUGGGAGCUUAGCCUAAAUGGCACAACUCCGAUCCCACCCUCAGUGUUUGAGGACUGCUGCUUGGCCAUUGAGGAGUCACUCAACAGUGUGUACCGCCAAGGCCGAGCCUCCGACAAGUCGAUCGGACCUCUUGAGAUCAAGAUUGUAGAGGCUGGGACUUUUGACAAGCUGAUGGACUAUGCCAUAAGCUUGGGAGCUUCCAUUAACCAAUACAAGACCCCAAGGUGUGUGAAGUUUGCACCCAUUGUUGAGCUCUUGAACUCUAGGGUGGCCUCAACCUACUUCAGUCCCAAGUGCCCCAAAUGGGUCCCCGGUCACAAGCAAUGGUGCAAAAACCAUGAUUGAAAUGCAAGAGGAGAGGGAAAAUGGUUCAAAGGAAGAAGAAGAAGAAGAAGAAUGACUGCAGUUUGGACUCGUAAUUGAUCACUUUUAGGGAAGAGUAACAAGUACCCAUUUUAGGUUAACCUUAUGUUUUAUGUUCAUCCACCACCACCUCUUUUUAUUUUUAACUAUGUCCGAGUAGACUUUUAAAUUAGCACCACCAUGUAUAAAAUCUAGUUCAUGUUUCAUGGAAGGAAGCUCCAUUUCGUUUUCCUAUUUGUUUAAAACUAGCUGUUGUUUCUUCAUGGGAUGUUGAUUCUUAUUUCCAGCCAGGUUUCCUGGCCACUGAAGUCUCAUGGGCCUCAUAUACUACUGUGAAUAACGGCACUUAAUUAUAAGAGCGAUAGUAAUCUCAGAAAGCCAACCUCUUAUGAUGUAGUACUCCUCCCUUGAUCGUUUUCUUUUUUUUUGGUCAAUUCCUUUGAUCGUUUUCGUUCCAUCACUUUCUCAAGUCUAAGAGAGUAUAUAAUUUAAUCACUUUACCAUAAGAUUAAAAAUUCUCCUCUCUUCCAAUGCCUUAAUCAUAAGAAAGUCUAAAAUGAGACAUUACUCUGUCACACAUGUCGUGAUACGUCAGUUCAAACGUAUUUAUUUUUUUACUACCGUCAUCGUCUUUCCGAACUUUUCAUGUUUGUUUUUCAUACACUAACAAUUUUGAUCUGUUUGUCUAAGUAAUCAAAUAACACGGCUACAAAAACUAAGUACUCAAAUGCCUUGUGUAAAAAUUUAAUUUUCUAAAUUAGGCACAUUGUUGAUAAACCCUCACAGUCACCUAUAAUUUUGGAUUUUUGUAGUAGAGUUUAAACCAUUUAUAUCACAGAAAUUGCAUGGCAUACUUGUGGCAACACACAAUUAUUAGAACAAAUUUUAUAAGGCCACACAUGAGUCAUAUAUUCGGGAUUGGUUUUAAAGAAAAAGACAUCAAAUGUGACUGUGUCCAAGAUUUGUUAAGUGUGUAUGAUUUUGUUACAGAAAUCUCUGGUGUUGGUUGGAGAUUGAUAUUAUCCAUGAGGGGAGUCAAUCAAAAAGACAACAACUGCUGCAUUUGCUGGUACUGCUAGCUCAGAAAAAUUGGUCCCUGCUCCUUUUGCUUGCUGUUGUUGUUGUCUUCGAACAAAAACAAAAGCUGUUUUGAUUUAGGCAGAUUUUACCGAGUCAGCUCUGGUACUACUCAGACAGACCUGUAGUCAAAGUAAUGAAAGCUCCCUGAAGACAAACCCAGAAAAGAAGAGGUGGAGACAGAUUCAGAGAGACAUGAUUUCAGGGUACGGUGGAGGUGGAGGAGAUAAGGGUGGUGCAGGGCUUUUGGCUUUUCUUUUGCUUUGUUUUUAUGACCACCAGAUUAAAGUGACCACCACUGUCGAGUCCAAUGCUACACACUGUAGCCUAGUUAACUAAGUCAAGGUUGGAGAUGAGUACCUGGGUAAAAGUUAAACAAAAUGAGUUCAGAUCCUUCUCCCAAGUUAAAUUUCACGCAUGCUUUUGGGGAUUGUUUAUUGAGGAAACUUUUGUUACUGCUUCAUGAAAAGAUUAGUAAUAAUCAUAAAAUUAUAAGUUUGUCGCUCUUUUUUGUAAUAGAAUGUCGUUACAAACGUGUAUGUGUUAGAUAAAUUUUCGUAAAUUAUUAACCGAGUAAUAAUCAAGUUAAUUAGUGUUCAAACCACAUAUCAGAGAAAAACUUGUGAACAUAUCAAUAAUUCUUUUGCAAAUCCAUUUAAGAAAAUUGUGUCAUAUGAUUACUCUUUGAUAAAAUUUUAGCGCACCUUUUGUCAUGUAAAUCAAGAAUCAUUUGUUUCAUGUUCGGUUAAAUUACCGCAGGGUUGGUUUGACCAAGAUAAAGUACCGUAGGGUGGUAAAAUUGACAUAUUCUUCCCAGAUGGUAAAAAUGAGAGACCGACGAGCAUAGAAUACUUGUUCGUCCUUCAAGAGGAAGAGAGGACCAUCUGGAUAAUAUGAACACGUGGCAGUGAAGCAACGUUGACUUGAAUUUCUGGUAAAACUUUUCUGUUGCGGGGAUAUGAGACCCAUCUUGGUUGGGCCAAUGAGAGCCCAGCAACGCCACGUGAGAUGUCGUUUUGAGUUUCGCUUUGUUUGGCACUUCGGUUUGAUCCCUACUAAUAGAAAAAAGAAAAGAAAAUAAAAAAGAAAAAAAGAAAAAAAAGAAAUCUGGAAGUUUUAGGUCUUUUUCGGAAUUGAGAUGGACAAAGACUAAUUUCAAAAGUUUCAGCCCUUUACAAAACCAGCUGGUGAAAGUUCAGUCUAGCUGAAUUAAAUUAGAAAUCAAAGAGGUUUAAGAUAAAGUUUUCCUAAAAAUUACGUGCUGUUGGGUAGAAAUUGAACGAGGAUCUAAGAGCUUGCCGUUGUUGGGCUUGGUGAUCCGAUCUUCCCUUUUAGGGUUACGAGACUAGGCCCAAAGUCUUCCUAAGAUAGACUUUGUUGUGAUGGAGAGGCUCCAAGCGUGUGUAAUAUCAAUACUGAGAGGACUUAGUAGUGUGCAUGGUGUGGAAGCUAGGAUCAUGCAAGUGUAACAUAAUGCAUGCUCAUCAAAUGUGGGUGAGGGAUUGUAAAAUAUGGUGGUGGUGGUUAGAGGUGUCUGAAGGUGUUUAGGAGAAUGGGUAUGGUGGUGAUGAUCUAGGGUGUCUGGAAGGAUAGGUAUGAUGAUGGUGGUCUAGAGACGGUUAAGCAUGAGGAGCUUGGUAAUGGUUUUUGCCUGUGUGUGUUGUGUCUCAAUCCCACUGUAGCUUCCUUUAAAUAAAAUGGAGGUCGAAGACUGAGGGUAAAAAAAUGACCCGUGACUCUCUAAUUUUAGCAAGAGUCAGAACCCCCUUUCUCACUGCCAUCGUUCGAGCCUUAAGCAAAAAAAACGUAAGGGUGGCAGUGGUUCUAAGGCAUCCCUCCUCAAUUUCUUGCCAAGCUAUUUUUGGUUAACGGGUUCAAACAAGACAUGGCCUUGGGUUUACCUUAAGCUUAUAAGGUGAAAGUUGUGGAGACAGGUCUGAAGUGACUUGGUCUGAGGUGAUGUGUGAUGAUGUGUGAUGUUAGCAUCCUAUGUCUAAAGGCAUUGGGUGAUGAGAUGAGGUAUCCGUUACAUGCCUAUGCGCGGGAAGCUCAAUUUCAAGUUUGAUCCUCGACUCCCAAGACGUCUCGGACACUUGACAUUUGGUCUCCAUAGGCUUGGCAAAAAUCUUGUGUCCUUCCACACCACAACCCACUAAAUAAGCCCCAUUGGCCUAGUGUGUCUUGGGUCCACAUUAUUGGCUGGCCACGUGGCAUGUCGUGAUGGAUGGUUUUCGGUGUAUACCAUCAACGAUGACGAUGCUUGUGCGCAACUGUGUUCGGCGUGUGUUGACACAUGUGCUGACACACGCAUGAAAUGGGCGAGCAUGUGGUGGUCAUUGAAGCGUGUCAUGAGAAACCACGUGCCGUAAAGGGAGUAGGCUUAGGCAUGAACUCGCAUGGCAUGGCCUGGCUUAACUCUUAAAUGGGCCUUGAGUAGAUUUAGGCACGUCAUGGCGUGGCUCGCCUCCCACGUCCUAGAUAGAUAAAAGGAGUAGGCUUGGGCAUAAAUGUCAUGGCGUGGGCUUGUCUCCCUCGUCCUAGAUAGGCUUGGGCAUAAACGAGCAUGUCAUAGUAGGCUUGGGCAUAAACCCGCAUGUCAUACUUGGCUUGACUCCUCGCUUGGCAUGGCUUUCGUGACCUCCUCCUAUAAUUUGGAUAUGUCAUGCCGUGGCUUGGAGAUUUUGUACUAAGCCCCAAGUCGCUCGAGGCAGAGGCAAACCAAACGACUCGGACCCAGGUCUCAUAUCAGCUCUAAGCCUAGGCCUCAUAUCAGCUCUAAGCCUAGGCCUCAUAUCAGCUCUAAGCCUGAUCAUUGACCUUAAGUCUCUAAAAAAAACAGGUUUACAUUUUUGGGUAUCAACACAUGCCAAUUAGAUAACUUGAAGGAGAGAAGAAUUAGAGCCGACACACCAACAUAAAUAUCACACUAUUUGUUUAUUUAAAUAAUUUUUUUUGGAUAAUGACUUAAAUAAAAGUUAAUUGUAACAAAAUGGUAAGUGCAACAAUGGUUGAGAUUGAAUAAUAAAUGUUGGGUCACUUGCAUCUUUGACAUAGUAAAGAAUUAUAAAACAGUGAUUUUAAUGUUGGACAAAUAUAAGGAAAAUGCUAAUUGAGACACUAAAAAUUUGAACCAAAUAUUAAUACCAAAUAAUGUGGCAUUUGCCAUGUCAUCAAUCUUCCUAUUAAGAAAGUGAUGAUAUGGAAUCAUACAAUUUUUUAUAUCUAAUGAAAAAGAAAUAAAAAGAUAAAAAUAUAUAAACUCAAAUUCUUCUUCAUUAGAAAAAAAGGGUGGUGCUAUUAAUACAUCGUUUUUUGCUAUUAACACACCACUUAUAUGGUGAGAACCAAUCAUCAAUCAAAUUCAAGUGACAAGUUUUUAAAUAAAAUAAAAAUGUGUGGAUAGGAAAAUAUAUAAGAUGUGUUAAUAACCAAAAUGAGUGUAUUAAUAACAAUUGCCAAAAAAAUUAUCUCUCCCUUAUGUUCUUCAGCAUCUCUCCAAUUUCUUAGGUGUUUCACUGUUUCUUAUUGGAGCCAUUAAAAGCCAUCUAUUUAUUAGAAGCUCUUUUCUCUUUCACAUGCCGGCCAUACUCCCCUCUCUUCUCAAAUUAUUAUUCUACCAUAUGAAUGGAAAUAUUGAAUUGAAGAAUCAAUAUAUAAGAUUCUCAAUGUGCUAUACUUAUUCUGCAAUAUAUAAGAAUCAAUAUAUAAGGAAAUUACGUACGUCCAUAAAACACGCAUUUAACAAAAUAUACUACAGCACACUCUAGCUAGCUGCACUUACCAUUUUAAAUAACAACACAGUACUCAUCAUCACGUACAUGAAUAAUAUUGUAUCAACAGGGACGGAACUAGGAAUUAAGACUAAGGUGGACUAAAUUUAGCUUAUAUUGACAAGGAAAAUUAUUCCUAAAAAUUUGAAAGAGAGUCUACUUUGUUUUAAACUUUCGAUGAAUUAUCUUAAUUGCGCAACAAAGGCAAGCUUACGCAACACUCGCUAAAAUAUCAUCUAAUAGAUAAGGGAGAAAAACCUCCACUCUCCCAUUACACGAUCCACACUCCUUUUCUGUUUCAUUUCAACUAGUCUAGCUCUUACUCGUGCAUCUACACGUGGAUUAAAAAAAAACAAUAAUUUGACACUUUAUACCCUCACUUAUAUAUGUUCAAAUCUAUAACCAAAUUGAUUCUCUUGCAUGUGUUUUCCCCUCCUUCAAGUGCAAAUUUGCACUACUAAUAAUUGAAAAGAGUUUCAAAUUUGAAAAAAAAAAUAUUAAGAAGUUAUAGAACAAUUUUAUUUGAACUGCUCCACCAAAAGAAGUGGGAUUUUUUUUUUUUUUUUUGUUAGAAACCAAAAGAAAGUGGGAGUGAAAGUAAUAAAACUAGCUAUCACCACGUUCCUAAUUUAAGUCUCCAGCCAAUAAAGGUAGAUUUUGUUUUUGGUUUAUUCUUUUUUUGUUUUUACCGUUAAUACCCUUACAACAAAUUUUGUUUAAUUAUGAACUGUUUUUUAGUAUAACAAAUAGGGUUAUUUAGGGUACCCGUUUUCGUACAUCAAAAAAAUAAAGCCUGGCUUCUAAUAUAGUAGAGAUUACAUGGUUCACUUUCUACACUUGCGUCUGAUGAAAUACUGUUUGAUCUUUUUUUUUUUUUUUUUUUCUUUUUCCUUUUUUUUGUUAACUCCAGCAAUUCUCAAUUUCUACCUCGACGGCUUCCUAAUUUUUCUACACGAAUCAAUUGCUCCCUUCAAUCAAAUAAAGUGAAGAGCAAUCUGCAUUCUGCAAUCAUCUCUUUAUGCAAGAGAUUGUAAUUAACCCAAUAGUGACAUUAGUACCCAGCACACUUCCAUCCAAAAGCACGGGAUUGAAUCUUGAUCUGGUUUUUGGUUUGGAUUUCUCUCAUUGCUCAAUCAAUAAUCACACAAAAAUUAACAAUUCCUCAGAGUUGCCCUGAUUCCAAGAACCUAUUAGAUAAAACCCCAUAUAAAAUUGCACACCGGCAUUGUGAAAUCAAUUUCUUCAGGAAGUGAAGAUUGAGGAUGAGUAGAAUUGACAGUUUAGAAUAUGAGAAGAUCUAAGAGCAUAAAUGCGAGGUGAAGAGGCUGAAUAGUAGAGGACUCAGAUCGUCCUCUUCUUCAUUAAUCAAACAUAGAGAUAGACAUAUAGGAACUUAGCACAUAUAUAUCAAGGAUUUUCCCCCCAAAUCUUGAGGUGGGCUGCAGCACACAUCAGCCCACCCCUGGUUCCGUUCCUGUGUAUCAAUCUCUAGCUCUCUAUCUUCUUCCUUUAGCUCAGCAAGUCAAAAAUGGAGUGAACUGAACUAGGGUUUUCACUUUUCAGAGUUGAGAAGAAAGAACUCAAAGGGAGUCGGCCCCUACCGAAACGACAAACAGGUGUGUAGGCGUGUAGCAACAAAACACCACACAACACCAGAUUAUUAGAAUAUAAAUGAUUGGGAGGAGCUAGCAGGUUGAAGUAAGCUUAACACUGAGCUCUGCCCCGACCGGGUGGUCGUCCAAAUAUAUAUCCGGUCCCCAUGGCCCAGAAUACACGUGAAAUGUCACUUGUUCUCAGACGAAGGCGACGGUCGAACUUACCGGGGCGGUCGUGGAGAGCGGAGAGCUACUCGAUCACUUCCCCCACACGGCCACACCCAUGCACUGUCACUUCACUUCACACGUGGGUUGUUGCCCUGUGGCCCCUCCACCCGCACGUGAGGGGUUAUUCGAUUUGUUUUCCUGCCGGGCUCACUUGAUGGGCCAUCCUCGCUCUGUUUGGGCCCAUGGAUCGCCAUCCACAGAGUUGAAGACUGUCGAGUGUCGACUGUUGACCUUUUUUAGAAUUUCCAGAAUAUGUGAUAUUGUGAAUAGUGGGUUAUAGCUAGUGUUUUGUUUAAUCGUGUUUAUUAUAUUCUCAGUUGCAAAUAAUUGGUCUGUAAUCAGUAGCUGGAAUCCAAUUAUGUGUAAGAAAAUGAGGCUCCUCCUAUAUUAUGGCUAAAAAAGAAGAGCUAGAAGAAAAAUGGUAGAUAAUUAGACAUUUAAGGUAAAUACUUAUUAGAGAUCGAAAAAUAUUGAGCUGAGAAGGUGUAAGCACUUUAAUUCUCGAAAAAAUUUAAUAAUUUAUCAAUGUGCACAAAAUUUGUGAAAUUUAUGUUAAUCAACAACACACGAGUUAUAUGCGCACGUAUGAACAAUCUUGUGAUGUUUGCAUUUUUUCUUUUUAACAUAAUGAACCUACGAACAAAAAUAAUGCAAUUGAUCAAGUCAAUUCAGUUCGCGCGGCCUUCUUAGCAUUAUUGUAUCUAUGCCCUUCUCAAAGUUUUGGACUAUAAUGCAAGGCUAGCUAAUUCCUUUCAUUUUCAAACUAAGAACGAACUAAAGCAGUCUCAGUUAAUCAUGUACCUGCAAUUAAUUAAAUUACUCGCAACGUUUCUCAUGAUGUAGUCAAAUACUGCGUAGUUUCAUUGCAUUAUCCACCAGUGUUCUAAUUUAAAUUAGUUUUUUGAGAAAUGAAUUCAACUGAGUGGUUGGGACUUGGGACUUGGGAGUUAUCCCCUCAUAGCUAGCUAGCUAACACCCAGAAUUGUUGAAUUCAGCUUCAGAGUCCCCUUCUGCUUACAUAUGCAUGCUUAGUACCCGUCUAGCAAGUUAGAUAGGUCAACACCUUUCAAAAUAUAGAAUUUGAUCUGGUCAAAACUAAACGGGUGCUACAAGUUGGAAUAGAUAAGGAAAACUAUAUAUGGCUCGUAGAGCUAGCUUAAUUAUAUAUGUAACAGAAACCCCUUGGUCGACCGCUAUGACAAAACUGGAUAAAGAACCACCUGAUUGAAUAUAUAAGAGCCUUCAGUCACUACUGUCAGUGUUGUGGUUUGAACUUGGAACAUAGAAGAACAGGUUCACUAAACAACUAAAAACAUUUGGUUUGAAUGAUGAUAUUAAUUUCAUCACUGAUAUAACAACGUAUUUCAAUUAAUAUAACUGAGACAUUCUGCAAAACAUAAGGGGAAGAUUAACAAAUCAAGAACAUAAAUAAACACAUUAGACUCGUGAAUCAUACCCCCUAUGAAUAUUUGUGGGAUAGUUUUGUUUGUUUAAUUCUGCAAAGUUCAACCGCUCUAACUAAUAACAUAAUUAAACAUACUGCAUCUUUCAUGAUAACCUGUAAUGUUCUUAAUCAACUUCUUUUUGGGGUAGUAGACCAAAUUAUUCUUUGGUUUAAGAGUUAGAGCUUAGAUCGUAUAUAUGUACGAUCAUGUCAACAACCAUCAAAACUAGGCUGAUGGUUUUGUUGUUCACUUGUUUGUUAAUGUCAGGUUGUGUUCGGAUCGGAAUCGUCGGAUUACAUGUCAAUGUCUUCCGGGCAUAUCACACACUGCUACAAAAACAACUACGUCUUCAAAGUCGGAAUCCUUGCGAAAAUAUGUGAACAGAUAAUUAAACAGGUAAUCAAGUCAAGUUAUAGAUAGAAAAUAUUAAUAGGUUGCAGAUAAGAGACGCGCGUACAGUUGAAGGUACAUGUAGAAAAUGGAAACUGAUCGAUGAUCGAAGUACUGAAGUUGAUAUAUACCAAAACCAAUUCAGCUCAGUACUGCGCGGUUAGCCUUUUGAUUAUAUAUAUAAUAUCGAUUUCAAUGUCGAUGACCAUUUUGGCUGCCCAGGUAGCUAGAAAUUAAGAAAAUGCAGAAACUACAUAACUUGGACUCUUGGAGGUUGGUUCCUACCAUCAAACUAAACUAAGUACACUCAUCGCCAUGUGAACAAAUAAAGAUUGCAGAUAAGAAAUGGUUGCGCAAGCUAGACGAUGGUGACUGAUGAUCCAAGAACUGAAGUUGAAAUUUAAUUACCAUAACCAUUUCAGCUAAGUACUGCGGGUGAUGAUGAAAUUUAAUAUUGCUAAAUAUCGCUUAAUAUCUUCCAACUUUUUCAUUGCAAUAUUUUGGCCAUCUAGGUAGCUAUAACAACUGCACUACUUAUCUCAUAGGCAAACAAUUGUUGGGUUAUGCGGAAGACUAAACUGUAGAAUAGAAUCAGAAACUUACAACCACAAAUGUAAAAUGUAGCAUAAAUAAAAUGAUAAAAAACACUGGGAAUUAACGUGGUUCGGCAAAGUGCAUAUGUCCUCAGGGCAACAACAAUAAAAAACCACCACUAUACAAAUAAAUGUUACAGUGAGAUAAACACUACUUCAAAACUCACACUUUAAGGGAUACACUCUCACUCUCACUCUCACUCUCACACUCACUUUGUUUUGCUACACACACAAAUUCUCGACUUGGAGUUUUCUCUCUAUCUCAUACUCUUGUAUAAUGCAAGAUGAACUCACCGGUACAUCAAUUGUACCAUUACUCAUGCCUUUAUAUAUGCAAACUUCUUCAUGCAUUUCCCAUGCAAAUCCUUCAAUGCACGAGGAAGAGAAUUCAAACUUCUUCCUUAAUUCAAGCUUCAAUGUUUGUAUGCACCAUCAAUGCAUCUCUAUUCUUUUUGUCAAACAUUUCAGGCACCCAUAAGCCUAUACGAAUAAGCUCUCUUGCAUUUCAACAUAUACACACCACCAACUUUGCUAUUCAUAUAGCAUUUUGUCUCUUGGUUAAUCGAAUGGGUCUUGAGGCUUCACCGAAAUGUUUUUCAUAUGUAGUAAACUAUAUGACAUCCUCCUCCAAAUAAGGAGGGAAAUUUGACCCAUCAACAAUUUCCUCUUCAAUGAUAAAUUAUAUCAUAAACGUGAUUCAGGUUUUGCAGAAAUUAAUCGAUAACAUGCAGAGGCUUAGAUCAGUUGAUUAGUUAUAUGUGCAAAUUAAAAGAAGACACGCACACUUGGUUUCAGGCCACCGGCUGGUAGCUCAUCAUCAGAGCAAGAUAGCUAGGUUUCAACUUCCAUUGCGAGCUGCUGUAUUUCAUUUUAUAAAUGAAGAACGAUGAUUAAUCUCUAGUAUUAAAUGGGGAUGAUUCUGAUGUUUGAAUAAAUAAAUUCAAGUCUGUGUCCAGUUUCUGUUAGUGAAUUUUGUCAUUUUCUGAUAUAUCAUGGAAUUUGGUAAUUAUUAUACUUGCUUCAAUUAUUAUGAACAAUAUCGGUAAAACUUCCAAGUAUUAAAAUUGACUUUAUAUAUCUAUCUAAGUUGAACUACUGUUGAAGUUAGUUCAUGACUCGAUCGUUAAUUUGAUUCAUGCAUUCCUAUUAUCCUAUAGCUAGAGAUUAUUUCAAUUCAGAAGUAAGUCAUCUCUCUACUGACUUAGGAAAUUAGAAAAACUUGUCUUUGUGCAUAUCCAUGUUCAUUGCAGGAGCGUCUACACAUACAUAACAUUUACUAUGAUCACAUUUCAAUACGUAGUUAAGAUUCGUCUUUGCUCACAUAAAAUGAUAAGAUCGAUAACAUAUGGCUUCUCGUACCAAAUAACUGUUUGCAUAUCACUGUAACAAGACACAAAUACUUGGUGGAUUGUAACAUUCAAUGUGCCGAUGCAUCCUCCAGACGAGCACAAGAGACUUGCCAUCCCUAGUUCCCAACCGCAAUAUAACACAAAACCUUAUCAAACACCUAGAGGCUAGAAUCUAUAACUAUACAUCUCAUGUUUUAAUGUUUUAUGGAGAAGCUACCAAGUUGUAACAACAGACCCAAGCCCACAACAUGCAGGCCCAACUACAGAAGGCCCAACACCAUGUGAAGCCCAAACUGAAAACAUAAGAACCUGAAAAUAUCCGUCAAAACUCAAUUCUCCUUAUCUCCCAAACGCACUCUCUCACUCUCUCUGAAAAAAUGGCAAUGGCGCCGAGCCUCUCUCUCACACCCAAAACCCUAAUACCAACCACCCCACGGCUCUCCCUCUUCGCCCCUCACAUCCAGCCCUCCAUCUCCUCCCUCGGAUUCACCUCCGCCGCCGCGGCUCGCCGUCUGACACGCUCGGUGGUGCCGUCCAAGCUCAGCGUCCGAGCUGUGAGCGACAGCGAGUACUCGUCGAGGAGGAGCAGCAGUAAUGAGCAGAGGGAGACGAUAAUGUUACCGGGCUGUGACUAUAACCACUGGCUUAUAGUCAUGGAGUUCCCCAAAGACCCUGCCCCUACUAGAGACCAAAUGAUUGAGACCUACCUCAACACCCUCGCUACUGUUCUUGGAAGGUACCCAUUUCCAUGUUUGUUUCAAUGGAAAAAUGAUUAUGUUAUUGCUAUGAAGAAAUUGGCCGUCUUUGUUUCGAAGUUUUAUAGGAGAAUAUAUCAAUGUUGAGAAAAAAGUAGAAUGUUUUUGGGGUGUGGUGUGAAUAAUUCUUUAGUAAUUUUGUAAGGAAAGGAAAUGUUUGUGCAGCUAACUGGAAGGUUAAAUAGUUUUUGCGUAGAGUAGGAAAUAUGAUUGGAGAAUAUGAAUGUAUUUCACGUGUCUAAAUCUUUUAGAGAACGAAAAGAAUGAUGUAGUGAAGUUUGAACUUAUUUAGGUUUGAUGAGUUAUUAGCAAGUGAGCAAGUACAACGGGAUAGUGUGAAAUGGUGAACUAUCUUCUUGUUUGAGUGUGUUGCAAAUGCUUUUGUUGUGGCAGAGUUGUAACUAACAAAAUCAUGAUGGUUUCAAUCUGGGCAUGAUACUUUGAUUGAUCAGUUGUUGUGGAAGGAUAUGGAAUCGUAUUGAACUUGUUUUAACUGAUAAUCUAGAAAGACCAGAAUUGUAUGCUUAGAGGAGUUAACUUAAGAUUGAUUGACCUCAAUCUGAACAUAUUUGGGUUUCUUUACUUAGCUAGGUUGAAUAGUUAUUGAGAGGCACUUUGUUAUUAAUCUCUUACUGUAACUAUUACAGUAUGGAAGAAGCAAAGAAGAAUAUGUAUGCUUUUAGCACCACCACCUACACUGGAUUCCAAUGUACUGUAUUGGAAGAAACAUCUGAAAAAUUUAAAGGUUUGUAUUGCAUUUUUGUUCAUAUUUGCUUGUUUUCUCAUAUAACAUUAGCUUUCUUCUGCUAACCUGGUUCAACCUGAUGCAGGGUUGCCUGGUGUUCUCUGGGUGUUGCCAGAUUCGUAUAUAGAUGUUAAAAAUAAGGAUUAUGGAGGUUGGUUAUAUCACAAUUUAAUGGUUUGUUUUAGCUUUCAAGUGCUGUUAUAAUAAAUUCAAUUUGGGUUCAUAUGUAGGUGAUAAGUAUGUUAAUGGAGAGAUAAUUCCCGGUAACUACCCUGUUUACCAACCGAAGAAACGAAGAGAAUCAAAGUUUGAGAGCAGAAGAUAUGAAAGACGAAGAGAUGGGCCUCCUCCAGAACGAACACGGCCAAAACAAGAAGCAACUCCAUCAGAAUCUGCAUCUGGUUGAGGUAGUCAGUACCACCAUAUAGGAAGUUUUUCUAUAUUUUUCUAGGAGUUGCUUUAAAAUAUAUUUGUCUGUAUUUCUGCAGUUGUUUAAUUUGGAAGUCCAAUCCGUGAAACUACUAGUUUAUCCAGUUGUCGAACUCAUCCAGGGGUACUCACAGUUGUGCUUAACUUUUUGGUGGAAGUGUUUUUUUUUUGCCUAGCCUGGAUGACAAUGGUGUCCUAUUGGCUUGUAAUUGAGACUAUUAUCUGUGAAAUAUUGAUCUUAGAUUACCUUUGUGAUAGUGUUUUUUGUCAAGACUAUUGAAGCUCAGCUAUAUAUAGUUGAUAUGGAUCCGACUUAGUUGUAUUCAUGUUUGGUUUUGUUCUUUUCUUUUGCACUAUUCUGUCCCUUCAUACUUGUUAGCAUCCAUGUGUAAGUGCGCUAGUCUUGCAUUAUCUUCUCUAAUUUCUUUGAAUUAGUUAUUCUCGAUACAUAUUAAGAUGAGAUUGACUGGCUUAUGCUGAACUCAAAGAUUGUGUUUCCUUUCCUGUCUCAUCUUUGUGGAGUUCUUCUGCAUGACCGUUGUGCUGUGCCGGGAAGCUCUGGCCAUAUAGUCCUAUAGCAUGGUUCUUGAGCUUGAUAGCAAAACUGCAUCACUAUCCUCAAGUAUAUGGGGGUUCCCUGGGGUUGGUAUUUUUUUUUUUUUGGUCAACCUGGGGUUGGCAUUUAGAGAUGCUCUUUUAAAUGCUCGGGGCAUUUCCCAAAAGUGCUAUAUAUCAUGUGGCAAAAGCUACAAAACGCCGUUGUAUGCGUACGCCAACACUUCCGUUUAAACAGAGGGGCAAACGAUGUAAUUUCUGUUGACCUGGUAAAAACAGUUUUCACCAAGCCCACUGAAGAAACAAUGUGUGACUUCCGAUCCUUGUUAAUGUCAUCAAGGUGUAUCAAAAUCGAAAACAUCCUGCCAUUUUUCAGUUGAGAUAUGGUCCAGCAGAUCCAAGCUUCGUGAUUGUCAACAGAUUUCCAUCUGAUUCAGUCAUCCAACUAGCUAUAUAUAAGUUUCAAAUCCCAGAUGCAUCCUUUCCUGUCAAGCUGCGGUCCUUGGUAUCUGACAACAAAGUUACAAGCUUCUUGUCAUCUAACGAGAGCAUUGAAGCUUGAGGGAGGUAACGACAAAUGUGAUCACCAACAUUCUAGGCUAGGCUUCCAAACUCUUGAUCAUCAAAUUAACCUCUUCUUACUCUAGUUCCAAGCUCCUGAUCAUCAUUUUCCGUGCAAAUUGCAAAAUGCUUCUCAGUGAGGAUGAGGGAGAUAGAUCUCGAUGCCGAGCUGGGAGUGGAAGCUAGAGAGGAACGAAAGUAGUUAUCCUGACGAAGCGUUUUGACUUUUGAGAGAGACGGUGGUUAUCGGCGGAGGUCUCGUGCUUAAGAGCGGGAGCACCAAUUCAUGGAAAAGAAUGUACAAAUAUGACCGAAGUGCAAACUGAGAACUGCAAGAGGCAUAUCAUAAUAAGAAACAAGGUUUAGUUGGUGAUAAAACUACACAAAAUUGAAGUGGUAAUGCCAGCAUAUGCAUGCUCUUUAACUCACUUGAAGUGGUAUUGCCACGAUUGCGCCCAUAGCUCCAGAUGUUGAAUACUUCCUUUUUCUUUUAAUUAGCCACUGACCCAACAUUAGCUAUUCCUCCAGUAUGAUCCAACAAUGGAUUACUCAUCUCUCUUUGCACUCCACAUCCAUCGUCGUGUUCAUCUAAAUGUAAACAAAAGUGUCGGUACCUUAAUUACAUGUUGGUCUCGCACUCUCCUAAUUCCGAUAAGCCCGAGAGCAAAGCAACCCACACCAUCACAAACCUGUAUUGCAUAGCCAAUCCUUUUGCCUCAAUUAUUGCAAAACCAAUUUCGCAAACAAGUAGCUCAUAGCUUCGCCGGAAGUUGGUUUCCGCUGCGUCUCUAUCGGAAUCAAUAUCGACCAAGUUACUCCGUCGUGUGCCGACCCCAUCACUAUAUUCCUCGAAGAACCGCCCUCUGACCUCGACUCCUCCGUCGCCGUCUUGGCGGCAAGAACCUCCGGCCCUCAGAUUUUAACUAUAACGAGUGAUUUUUACUGCUAACAGAAGUUAAUUGCUGGAUUUACGUAUAUGCCCUUCAUUUUUGAACCCUAUGGACAAUAUAUAGCCACCUGUUUUGGACCCACUCUGGCUGUUUUGGACCCACUCUGGCGUACGGAAUGUUGGCGUAGUCCAGCGCUUUCCAUAUCAUGUAUCAUAUUGAAAUUUGGUUGCGGUGGAUCCAAAGUGAAAUCUUUAAGCAUGGAUCCAACCUACGUGCGGCAAACGCACCACCUGGACUUUACGACCAACCAAUCAACAAGGGACAUGUACGCUUCUUUUUUGUUGAUGUCAGCUCUGCUAAAAGGAAAGAAAAAAAUUUGGAUUCCUAUCCACUCCGAUCAAACCAAACUAGAUCGUCGAAACCCAACCCACCCUAUCGCUCUCUUCCACCUUGCCUUCAACCACGACCAGACCUUGGACCCAAGAAGAAUUGAAAAGCAAACUGACCUGGUGACAAGUUUUUCCAUUGACGGGGUAGAUCGACCGCCGACGACACGAACUCCGACCAUUAGGUGGACGGUGGGAUCUGAGAGAUUUGUGUUUGGUCUUUUCAGUGGAUAAGGGAGAGGCCUGGGUUUUUGAUCGGAGAUCUACUUCUUUUCGAUUUCUUUCUUUUCUCUUCCUUCUAGCAAUGUCCACUCAGCAAAGAAAAUAAUAGGUGUCAUUUUUAAACUGGGUGGUCGCACAAGCAAGCUGGUACGUUUGCCACACGUAAGAUUUUCUCAACCUGACAUAUUGAAAUGGUUUCCCUCAUACCAAAAAAAGAGAGAAAGAAAUGGUUUCCCAUACUUGAUGUGAAUAAUAAUAUUGGGAAGUUAAAACUACUAUCUCUUUUUUUGUUGUUGUUGAAUAAAAGAGACGUUAUUAUGAAAUAUAAUUUGAAUCGUACAUAAUGAGCAUCUGGUAAGAAUUUUGGAGCAUGAGAGAACCAUUCUGCGGUAGUAUUGUUAUCACUAGCCUCAUUGUUGCAAAGCCAAAACCUGCUAGUCUAUGUGCAACCAUGUUGGCUUGCCUUAGGGUGUAUUGCAGAGUGAAAGCAUUAACUUCACUGAGAGUGCCUUUGAUGUCAUGGAUGAUAGCACUAAGAGCAUAUGCAGCAGUAUGUGCCUAUAGGUUGAAUUUGUGCAAGGGCAUAUACUAUUCAUAUGAAGAAUGAAUUGCUUUGCCUUCACAUUUUGUAUGCAACGGUUGAGAGUAAGAAUGAUAGGCAAUGUAUUAUUUUAAGUAUAAAAUUGACAUGAUAGGUUGAUUUGAGGUCCACUAUUUGACAUUUAAGCAUUGUUUUAAUCAGUAAAUGACAUCUCACUACUAUAAACAGUUGCAAAACAUAGAAAACCUAAUUUUCAAAAGAUUUAUACAAAUAAGGACGGAAGCCUAAACCCAAAACAAUACAACAUCAAGCAUAAUCCAAAUUCUAAAUAUAUAGUGACCAUAAUACCCAGAAUUUUAACAAAAUUACAGAUCGUGUCAUUCACUCCAUUCUCUCUCUCUCUCNNNNNNNNNNNNNNNNNNNNUCGUCUCUCUCUCUCUCUCUCUCUCUCUCUCUCUCUCUCUCUCUCUCUCUCUCUCUCUCUCUUUGUGACAACCAUGUUCAACAAGACUCUGACUUCGGGCCUCGCCGGUCACCGCUCCGAUCAGAUCUACCGACGUCGAAAUUGCAAGGAGGCGAGGAAGGGAAGAGAAGCCGAAGAAUGAAAGGAUGAAUGGUGAUCAAGGCUUCAAUGAAUCAGACCAGAUCUGAUUUGGUUCUUCCUCUUCUUCUUCUUCAGAUCUGUCGGCGUUGAAAUCUCAAGGAGGCGAGGAAGAGAAGAGGAGAUGAAGAAUGAAAGGUCAAUCUCUACAACUUGGUUUACUCAAAGAGUCAUUGGAAUUAAACUCAUAGCUUUGAAUUUGACAACAAAAAUUGAUCAUUUGUAGCUAAUUCGUUCUCUUGUUUCGUGCUACUACUGCUUGUUGUUGUUAUGUGCUGCUACUGCGUGCUCUUCGUGCUAUUACUGUGUGUUGUUGUUGUGUGCUGCUACUACGUGUUGUUGUUAUGUGCUGCUACUGCGUGCUCUUCGUGCUGUUACUAUGUGUUGUUGUUGUGUGCUGCUACUACGUGAUGUUGAUUCAUGUUUCUACUGUGUACAACUACUGUGUGUUGGUGUUGCUACUACGUGUUGUUGAUUCAUGCCGCUAUUGUGUAUUGUUGUUGUGUGUUACUACUGCGUGUUGUUGUUAUGUGCUGCUACUGCUUGUUGCUGCUCUGUGCUGCUACUGUGUGCUCUUUGUGCUGCUACUAUUUGUUGUUGUUGUUGUGCGCUGCUACUACGUGUUGUUGAUUCAUGCUGCUACUGUGUGCUCUUUGUGCUGCUACUAUUUGUUGUUGUUGUGUGCUGCUACUACGUGUUGUUGAUUCAUGCUGCUACUGUGUACAACUACUGUGUGUUGUUGUUGUGUGUUGCUACUGCGUGUUGUUGAUUCAUGCUGCUACUGUGUAUUGUUAUUGUGUGUUGUUACUGUGUGUUGUUGUUAUGUGCUGCUACUGCUUGUUGCUGCUAUGUGCUGCUAAUGUGUGCUCUUCGUGUUGCUACUGUGUGUUGUUGUUAUUGUGUGUUGCUACUACGUGUUGUUGAUUCAUGUUGCUACUGUGUAUAACUAUUGUGUGUUGCUACUACACUAAGUUAUUAAAAAUCUGCUAUUGUAUUCUAUUUACUGAAAAAUAUCAAAAUGAGAUUUUUCUCUUCUAAAAACAUAUUUAAUUAGUGUAGGGUUAGUUUGAUAAAUUAAACCAUGACACAUGACAUGCAGAGAAAAAAUUGUCCUUAAUUGUUAAAAACUGUUUUUAUUUGUUUAACAACAACACAAAUGUUUAUUUGUGUUUCAAAUCCUUUUGGAGAAUAUAUAUGUGAUUUGCUUUUGUUUAAUUGAAUUGAUGAGUUGACUAAGCUCCACCAUGUGAAACAAGUCGAGCAAUCAAUUAGGCAAAAUUUGCCUCUUGAUUUGGUUGGGCAGGUAGGCCCUACCACAUUGCUUGCAACUAUUGGACAUUGUUGUAUAUGGUUUUCUAUGAAAAAAGCAGAAAAGGCAACAUAUGCCCUUUCCUUUGCCUAUUGUUGCAGAUGGUCUUAGAUGAGAGAGGUCUGCUUCAUUGGAGUUGAUAGUGUUCAUUGCUACCAAGCAAUCACUUUCAGCGAUCACAUUCUUUAUCUCCAUAGCUUGCAGCAGCUGAAACCCAAAACUCACUGCCUCCAAUUUAGAGUGAAGAGUGGAGCUUGAGUACUGCACUCCUACACUUCUUAUUCAAAUGUUUAUAAUUUCAUGUAUGUGAGCGUUGUGGCGAUUUACCUGUUCUUGUGUGAUCAAACUCCAUCCCCCAUAUCUCUUGGAUUGUAUGUAGAUCAUAUAUGUUCCGCUUGUACAAGGUACCUACCAAUAUCAGAGCCAAAAGAACCAGGCUCUUGGGCAGAAAUGUAGAAAGCUCGUUCUAAGCACUUCUGACUUUUAUUUAUAAAAAAAUGAGUUGAGGUGAACUCAAUAUUUUGUUCGAUAGAAAAACCAAGUGACUUGAGAUUUGACAUAUAUAUAUUCAGGAUCAAAAGCCAUGAACAAUUGAUACUAAUACACAAAGAGACUCGGCUGCUUUUAUAAAUUUAGGCCUUGUUUGGUUCACAGAUGUGAAAUCUUCUCCUUUGCAUUACCAAUCCUAGUGCCAACUGCUGCUGCCACGAAUCCAUCUGUAGAUUCGAGAAGCGUAUGUCGAGCGCAGCGACUUGAAAGCCGCCAUCACCCUCUACUGUCCCAGAAGCCAAGAUCCCCAAACACCAUGUGUGACAACCUCCAUCAGCACGACAUGUACAAUUGAAAGAGAGGGAAGCUAUCCCACUCAUGUAUUGCCAUUGCUGGUCGGACUAGAGUGUAAAGCCUCCGAUCGCCGACCUAAAUCUCUGGUUAGAGAGAAACUAGAGAUCUAAUAAGAGAAAAUGUGUGGUGCUACUCACACACUUUGGCCCAGUUUGGUAUUGCAGUUUAAAAACUCAGUUUUAAAAAAUCACUGCUGUGAGAAUAAUCCGCGGUCAAAUAAAUCUGUUAAGCGUUUGGUAAGUUAUCAUUUUUUAAUUGCUGCGAUAAAAAUAAGUAAGGUGAGAUGUUUGGUAACCUCAUUAUAAAACUGCAGUAUUUUUAUGUAAUGACCAAAAUAGACAAAACACUAGAAUAAACUCUUUAGCUCUUUUUUUUGUCGAUAACAACUUUCUCUUUCAAUUUUUGGCUUAUAACCCAUUAUGUCAUUCCUCUUUCUUUAACUUUGCUUAUACCAGAACCUUAUAUAAUCAUUAUAUAAUCAAACAAAAAUACAUGUGAACUUGUGAAGAGCCUCUCAAGAGCCUCAGUACAUAUAUUUAAACCUUAAUUCAUAACAAAACUUCAUAUAUAUAAUAAAAAAAGUAUUUAUUCAAAAAAUAUAAUAAAAAUACUAGUUAAAUAUAAAUCCACAACCUUAUUGCAAGAAAAGAAAACUAAAGUCUUGUCUCUAAACCUGUGCACCCAUCAAACUUGAAGCAAUCCUGUUUCUCAAUGCCUCCAUCUCUCUAGAAACAUGACCGUGACCACGUGCAUCAUCCUCUCUCCCAUGCUCUUCAAUGUCAUCAAAGGUUUCACUUUCGUCAAAAACUAAAUCACGUAAGGCAUACAUUCUUAUAUAGUUGUGAAGUGUCAUUGUUGCUAUAACAAUUUUAACUUGCUUAUCAAAUGAGUAACUUGGCAUGUCCCGUAAAAUAUUCCAUUUUUUUUUCCACACACCAAAAGUGCGUUCAAUAACGCCCCUGAGGGAAGAGUGUGCAUGAUUAAAUACUUCUUUAUAACUUGUUGGUUGAGCACCUCUGCGAAAUUCAGGAAGAUGAUACCUUUGACACUUGUAUGGUCCCAAAUACCCUUUCAUUUGUGGGUAUCCUGCAUCCACCAAAUAGUAUUUUUCUGAAGAAAAGAAAAAAAAGUUGAUCAUAAUUUCAAAUGUAAGAAGUGCUUUCAAUGUUGAACAAAUGCAUGUUUUUUUAUAUAAAUAUAAUUACCACUUGGAGGCUUAGGAAAGUUCAAAGCUGGAUUGUGAAUUACUGAUUGGAAUAUUCUUGCAUCGUGGGCAGUGCCUUCCCAACCUGCACAUGCAAAUGUAAAUUGCAUGUCAAAGUUGCAUACUGCCAUUAUAUUCUGAGUCGGUAUUCCUUUUCUGCCAAUGUAUGGUACUUGAUCUGAUGGUGAUAUAGUUGCAUGAAAAUGCACGCCAUCUAUAGCUCCAAUACAAUCCUGCAAAAACUAUGAUAUUUUAUACCACGUUGUUUGUUAAAAAUAAAAAUGACUACAAGAUGUAAAAUAACUUACCUUAAAGUGAGGCAUAUAUGUAGAAUCACCAAGUAUUUCAGGUGGAGUGCUUUUGAACUCGGGAUCUGAUGGCUUGAUGAAAUCUUUUGCCAUGACAUCACAUAUCACAUUGAGCAUUUUAUUGAAGUAUCUGCUAACUAUCUCACCAGAGUGUUGAAAUCGCUCUUGAACACUUUUGUUUGCUUCACCUCCUCCUAAAGUGUACAAAAACAUUGCCACCUUCUCAGCCACACUAAUUCUCCGGGACGCUUUCACCUUAUAAGUAUUCUUCAAAUCAUCACACAAUUUAAAGAAUACAUCUUUGUUCAUCCGGAACAUGUUAUGACAACGAGUGUCAUUCCCUGAUUGUAAUUCCAUCACCCAAAUGUUACCAGUGUAUAAAGAAUUCAUACAAGGGACCUUAUGAAUAUACUUUUCAUGAUACAUUUCUAUCAUAGAAGCACAAAUGCAGACAAUUCUACUAAUCUCCUCUUCCUCCUCCUCUAAAAUGUCCAUAUCCAUAACCUGCAAAUUAUUCAAAUAUCCAUCAAGCUAUCAUGUAGUAGUACGUGCUAAAUAUAUAUUCAAGACAAGAAAAAAAGCUAAUAAUAAUAACACUCAAAUAUGUGAAUGCUUAUUGAAAAUAUGUAAAAAAAUGUCAAGAUCAGAAUCAUGCUAGGGAAACAGAAAUAAGAUGCAAUUCAAGAAAACAUACUUGUAAAAUGUCACUAGUAAUCUUCUUCCUUCCUAACUACAUAUUAUUUCCCCUGUCUUGAUUACGCAGGAUAAAUUGAAGCUUCAUCUCCGGAUCUUUCAUCACAGAAAACAUUUCCCUCUUCUCUUGGGAGCAAAAUAACUCGGUUGCAAACCACCACAAUUGGCUACCAAUCUCUAUCCCUGACAAACUUUCAACUACCUUCAUUACUUCAGAAACACUAGUAGAUUGUGAACCUUUUAUCAAUGCAGACGUUGUGGUACUCCUAGCCUCAACUACCUCAACAAGAUGAUUAAUUUGUAGGGACAAUUUUGCGGCACCUCCCAUUUUAGCCUUUUUCUCUUUUAGCCCUUCUGUGUCAAGUUGACCAUUUGCUCGCUUAUUUCCUGUCUCUUUGGUAACUUGAGCUGACUGUGGACUUUCAUUGAGGUCAAACUCCUCAUAAUCAAGAUUAUCAUCCAAUGAAAUAAUGUUGUCCUUUGGAGCUUUCUCAUUUUGAGGCGGUGGUAGAUCAGAAGAAGGAGCCCAAGCAUAUUUACCGGUAGCUACAGCGCCAUUUAACAUCAUAUCCAACUUUACCUCCAUAUCAGGAUUGAUGCCUCGAAUACGCAAUUUUGCAUAUUGUGGAUUUAUCUAUAAAUCAUAAAGAUAACAGUUAGUAUGGAGACAUAAUACUACAAUAUCAAACUAAAUAACAUUAGAACAUAGAUAACUUUGUGCUACAUACCUGGAUUUUAUUCCUCCACCAUUCAUCUGAUGCAUCAACAAUAUUUUUAGUGAGAUUCCAACCAAGGCCAGUUUCCUUCCCAAUCAGAUCUUUCCAUAAUUUCCAUUCUUUUUUUAGUAAAUCCCACUUGUUCUUCAAUUGUGAUUUGUCAUAGUUAUUUCCAGUCUCUGCAUGAAAGUUUGCAACCAAGCUAGCCCAUCCUUCUUUAUUAAAGUGAGUACCAGGCCUUUGUCCUUUCCCAACUUCUUUGAUACACAAGUCGCAAAAUAUAGCUACGGUUUGAGGAUUCCAGGUAGCUGAUUUAGUUCCACUUUGCCCAUUUUCAAGGUUGAUCAUCUCAAUGCAAUUGUCACCAGUAAUCUUCUUUCUUCCCAUGUUUACUAAAGAAUUAUAAAGUAUAUGCACCAAUAUACAAAUUACAUACACCUCUUAGGAACUACUGAAAUAACCAAACAAUAGCAUCAAAACUAUAUAUAGCUAUAUCUAAAUGCUUAGGAACUGUGGCUAACAGACUAGAANNNNNNNNNNNNNNNNNNNNNNNNNNNNNNNNNNNNNNNNNNNNNNNNNNNNNNNNNNNNNNNNNNNNNNNNNNNNNNNNNNNNNNNNNNNNNNNNNNNNNNNNNNNNNNNNNNNNNNNNNNNNNNNNNNNNNNNNNNNNNNNNNNNNNNNNNNNNNNNNNNNNNNNNNNNNNNNNNNNNNNNNNNNNNNNNNNNNNNNNNNNNNNNNNNNNNNNNNNNNNNNNNNNNNNNNNNNNNNNNNNNNNNNNNNNNNNNNNNNNNNNNNNNNNNNNNNNNNNNNNNNNNNNNNNNNNNNNNNNNNNNNNNNNNNNNNNNNNNNNNNNNNNNNNNNNNNNNNNNNNNNNNNNNNNNNNNNNNNNNNNNNNNNNNNNNNNNNNNNNNNNNNNNNNNNNNNNNNNNNNAAUUCGGCUUCAAGUUAUAUAUCUAGUGAGCAUAUGGAUCAAUUAUAUUCCCAAACCAAUUAAUAUAAACCAAUUCACAUGAUUCAUUAAUUCAUUACAUAGCACACGAGAACGACAAUUCAAAAUUUCAUACCAUGAAAACACCAAUUCAAUGUUUCAGAGAAUACUACUGACCUAUUUGCAGAGAAAUCGCCUCUUCAAGAUGGCACCUGCAAUCAACCUUUUGGCCUCCCUACAAUAGAAUUAUAAAUAUAUCAAUUCAUGUAUAAGUUAAUAGGGAUUAUAUAUAACCAGAGAAAGAUAGAAACAUAGAGAUAACCUUGAUAAAACGAGAUUGAGAAGAACGGCAUAAGGAGGAACACCUUUGCAGAAUUUAUAUAAGAGACAAACCCUAGAAUUGAAAGAAGGCAUCGCGCCCAAAUUGAGGAGAAAUAGGCAAAAUGGCGGGCAGAUUUGACAGAAAAACAUAGCAAACGCGUGUAGAUUUGAGAGGAAAACGGAGCAAGAGCGCGAAUCAGAUUUGGAUUUGGCGCUGGGUAUUUUAGGAUUUCACAAUUGUAAGCGAGUCAUCCGCGUCUUCUCCGAGCGUUUCGGAAAACCAGAUCUGAAAAAGCAGGUCGCGACCUGCUUAUGAAAAUUGAGGUUUUGCACCGUGAUUUUUAUAAAAACACGGGUUUAGAAAAUUUACCAAACGGGCUGAAAGCCCAAAACGUUAAAAAUAAGCUAAAAUUUUCACGAAACCGUAAUCCCAAACGGAGCCUUACACCUCCUUUUUACUUUUCAAUAUAAACAUUUGCUCACUAGACCUCAUUUCAAAUUCCUAACAUAACCUUAGUUAUUUAUUGACAUAUAUUUCAAUCAAUUAAUUAUCUCUUCUUCACUCAAUGGACCUCUCAUUCUUUGUUUUUUUUUUUUUUUCAUUUUUUUUUCAACAUCCAUUAUCCCUACCUUCAUUUUUUUAUUAUUUUUUUCAUGCAAGAAAAUUUUCUAUCAUGAACUAUUCUAUAUAUCUUUUUAAUUGUUUUUAUCUUUUGUAUGUGUUAUUUUUUCUCCAUUUUUUUUCUUUUGAAUAAUUUGAUCUUUAUUUUGUACCUCAUAAUAAAUUAUUUCAAUAUAUAUAUACAUAUAUAUAUUUUCUAUGAUCGAUAGAUAUUAUUAUUAUUUUUGCAAAAAAAAUUAUGCACCUUGAAGUACGUAUAUGCGUUCAACAUGUAUGAUAAUACAAAAUUUUAUGUCACAUGAUCGAUAUUGAUAAUUAUUUUUUUGCUCUUAUAAACUGUAUAUAUGCUUUAAUAAAAAUAAAUUGGAAAACAAAAAUAUAUAAGGAAAAUAAUAAAGAAUGUAAUCAAUUAUUAUUGAAUUGAAAAUUAAGUCUAAAGAGAAUAAAUAUAAUAUUUUCUUUUGUAUAAUUAUUGUCUUUAAUAGUCAUUAUGUAUGAGGAUGUAUAUGUCAGUUAAUAAUUCACAAUAUAAUGAGGGUUAGUAAGCAAAUUUAGAGGUCAUAAUAGCCGCACUUUAGAAAGAAUUUCCUCAUACAAUUGACUAUGAUCUAUAAUCAUUAAAAACUUCAUUAAUCAUCAAUCUAAACACAAAAUCCAUGUUGAAUGUAUGAAAAGAAAGACACCACAAAUUAGUGAUGCAAAUUUUUAGAAAAGCAAAGUCAACACUCAAAUUAGGGCUUAUCUGUCUUCUCUUCAUCCUCACUUUAGUGUAAAUACACGUCGUGUAAAUACACGUCGUGCAUACAAGAAUUUCCACAAAACCAUACUAUUAAACAAAUUGAAUUGUAACUCCAAUCCAACCAUCAUCUUCUUCCCUGCCAUCAUGGCCGCCCCUCUCUGAUAUUUGAUCCGCCGCUGUUUGCCCAAUGAAGCGUCGGUGAAUAAAACUUCUCAUGUUGUUUCGUGUUUUCCCUUCCUUCGUGAAAGCGUCUUCCACACUAUUUAACGUGGGAAAACAAUAACUGCAAAUCAGUUUUCUCUAAAAAAUGUAACUCUUUUAUUCUCUUAGAUUACCGUUGUACCGUCUUUUUAUUAUAUCAAGCUUUUGUAAACUUAUAUUAAAAGAGGGGUAAUCAAAGGCUUUAUGAAAAUUUAACCUUUGGCGGUUCUAUAAGCCAAAUUGGCUUAAUUAAUACUGAUUUUGUUAUAAUAUUUCAUUAGUGUUUUAUAAAAAUUUAUGAUAAAAUUAAGAAAUUAUUAUUUAAAAUUUAAAAAUAUUUAUUAUUAUAAACGGAUCGAAUUAACGGGUUGUGUAUCCGUUAACCCGUCAGAUCCGGAUUUGGAUCGACCUAUCAAUGAUUCGGUGGGUAACAGAUCAGAUCCGGAUCUAAAAUUUCUAUUACGGAUCUGGAUUCGGAUCCGGAUCGAUCCAGUCACAAAAUCAAAUUUCAAAAUUCCCAUCAACCUAUGUACUCUUAGGGUGUUCUUCCCACAAACAAAAUUUUCAACAUUCUACAUAUUUUUGCUGACCAUAAUACCCUCCUUUUCCCGAUCUCUCCUUCUCUCUUCCUUCUCAGUUCUUCUACAGAUCUCUCUCUCUCUCNNNNNNNNNNNNNNNNNNNNAUAUCUCUCUCUCUCUCUCUCUCUCUCUCUCUCUCUCUCUCUCUCCCCUCGCUGCAAAGAUCUGACCAAAGAGAGGAGGUCGUCGUUGACGGCAAAGAAGAGGUUGGUGAAGCCCCAGUCGGCGCUGAAAUCGUCGUUGGCGAAGCCGUCGACGCUCAGCGAGGCCCAAUCCGGCGUUCGGUGGUUGGAUUCGAGUUCGAGUUCGAGUUUUUCGUCUAAUUGCUAUCAAUUGAAGAGUGAUUUGAAUCUAUGGAUUGCUGCUACGGGUGCUAUGCAUUUGUAUCAAGCUUACACGGAACAAAUGUGAGCAUGGAUUUGAUGUAAACCCAUGCAAUUCCAUGGGUGGUGCUAUUCAAGGUCGGAGUUCCUCUUUCCCUGCUUACAAACUUGAUUUGAAAUUGGCAAAUUUCUAGACCCAAGUAUGUGUUUCUACCAUAUCAUUCUCUAUUGAACAUUAUCGUGAUUGGCCCCUCCUCUUAAUCAAAUUAAGGAAAUUUUAAUAUUUGUUAUUAUGAGCAAUGAUCCUAGGCCAACAAAGAGUACUGAGGCUAGGAUUUUGCAAAUGGAGAUUUCUGGGAAUAUUGCUGAGAACAAUGCUAUGGACGUUAGACCCCUUACUGCCCCGAUAAAGCUCAGCUAGGAAGCAAUACUCGAUUGCUAUGUACAUGGUCAUGAGGCCCAAUAGGUUUAUUGAUAUAUACCUUGAUUAAUGGCAUCGCCAUCUCUCACUUAAUUCUUUGCUUUUGUUAUAGAGAACCCAUUAAUUCAUGAUACUCAACAAAGUAACAGUAUUUCUGGAGAUAAAGUAUGGUCUUAUAAUAUUCAAUGCUAAUGUUGAUGGAGUUUUUUGUUUGCAGAGCAUAUAUCGGUUGUUUUGUGUUGAAUGCAGCAGAGCAAUAUAUAUUGGUUUGGUUGUUGUUGUUGGUGAGGGGUUUGCGGUGGAGAAAACGCAUGUCGUCUGCCCCUACUGCCUCUAGUAUACCCCUUACUGCCCCCAGUAGACCACCAGACAGAUCUCCUAUAGCCCCCAGUAGACCCUCCUACUGCCCCCAGUAGACCCCCCCUACUGACCCUAGUAGACCCUCCUACUGCCCAUAGUAGACCCUUAGACAGACCUCCUACUGCCCCCAGUAGAUCCCCUACUGCCUCAAUAGACCCUCAUACUGCCCUAUUAGAUCCUCCUACUGCCCCAGUAGACCCUCAUACUGCCCCAGUACCCUGGGCAGACCUCCUACUUCCCCUAGUAAACCCCCUACUGCCCUAGUAGACCCUCAUACUGCCCCAGUAGACCCUCCUACUGCCCCCAAUAGAUCCCCUAGCUUUCGUCGGAGCCGGUCAACGGUCGCCGGAGCCCGGUCAACCGUCGUCGGAGUCCGGUCAACGUCAUUGGUCGUGAAAAUCCAGUCAUAGAAACUUUAUUUUAUAAUAGACUCUUAUAAUGGUCUAUUGUAGUUUAUUUAAUUCAUUAAGGGUAUAUUUGUUUUUCUGCUGUUUAAAUUGGCUCUUGGGAAUUUUAAAAUCUGAUUUUGUUAGUGGGAAUAAAAUUUUUAAAAUUAAGGCUAGUGGGCAUUGUCCCAUAUAUUUAUUCUCUGUAGAUGAACAAAUACAAUACAUGUAUGCAUGUUGAAAAUAUUGUACCCCAUGUCGAGUGUUCAUAAUCAUUAAUGGAAUCUCAAGGAAACAACCCUAAACAAGGAAAAAAGAAGAAGAAGAAGAAGCAGCCGCGCGCCAGCAAAUCUAAGUUCCACAGCGUGAGGCUGUCUCUUCUCAGAAUUUGUGGCCGUGAUGGUGGUACGUGGCUGGGUAAUUAGCCAUCUCAAAGAACCCCACGAUGGCAAUCAAUUAAUUUCAGUUUGACUAAAUUAAAAUCAUUGCAUGAAAUACUACCACGUUUUCCCUACGGACCAACUCUCUCUCUCUCUCUGUUUGUUUUUGUUGUGGAAAACGAAAUUCACAUGGGUGGCCAAUAAUGCUGAUCUAUAUAUAAGUAGCAACAGCAUCACAAGCUCUUCAAGUUAAGCUAGCCUUUUAUAUUUACACAAGCGCUUUAAAUUCUUAAACAAUAAACAUUCAAGUAUUUUUCUUGAGUUUCAGACUCGGAAAAAAAAAAUUUGGCUUGAAGUUUUCUAAAUUUCAUGUUAAAUAUGUCUUCCCAAGCUCAAACCUCAAAAGACGUCACUGCUGAAGUCCGAGGUUCAGCCAACUUUUCUGAUGGUGUUUGGGGCGAUCUUUUUCUAUCACACGCUUCUCUGGUGCGUAAGAAGUAACUAGUAUAUAUAUCAUUAUUUUUUGCCACAUAUGUUUAAGAUAUUAUUUUAGUUUUGAAUUAAUGUAUGACUUAAUUACAAUUUGCAAUUCUAUUUGUUUGCAUAUGCAGGAAAAUGAUACUAAAACUGAGCAGCAGGUCCAAGAAUUGAAGGAAGAAGUGAGGACGAUGCUAAUGUCUCCAGUUAAAAAGAUUUCACAAAAAUUGGAAUUGAUUGAUGACAUUACGCGCUUAGGAGUGUCCCGCCAUUUUGAAGAAGAGACUGAUGAAAUUUUGCAGAAGGUUUAUGAUAACGUUUAUCAUGCUAAUGACCUGUAUGAUAAAGAGCUUUACUUCACAAGUCUUGUCUUUCGUUUGGUUAGACAACAAGGUUAUAACAUAUCAUGCGGUACGCUAGCUAUUUCUAACUUUGUGUCAUUGUAUAGGGUAAAAUAUUGCAUAGUCCUUGUGGUUUGAAGUCGACAUCUGUUUAAUCCUUAUGGUUUUAUUUUAAUCUGCGUAGUCCUUAAAGUCAGGAUUUUUUAUCCAAAUAGUCCUUAUGGUUUUAUUUUAAUCUGAAUAGUCUUUAAAGUCAUGAUUUUUCAUCCAAAUAGUCCUUAUGGUUUUAUUUUAAUCUGAAUAGUCCUUAAAGUCAUGAUUUCUCAUCCAAAUAGUCCUUAUGGCAUUUAACUGAGAAAAUUGUCAGAAAGACUAUUUGGAUGAAAAAUCAUGACUUUAAGGAUUAUUCAGAUUAAAAUAAAACCAUAAAGACUAUUUGGAUGAAAAAUCAUGACUUUAAAGACUAUUCAGAUUAAAAUAAAACCAUAAGGACUAUUUGGAUAAAAAAUCCUGACUUUAAGGACUAUUCAGAUUAAAAUAAAACCACAAGGACUAAACAGAUGUCGACUUCAAACCACAAGGACUAAAUAAAUUUCAAUUAUAUAUAUAUCUAUCAAUUGUUUUAGAAGAGUUUCCUCUAAUCAUGUGACGUUUGUGAAGCGCAGAAAUAUUCAGCAAAUUCAAAAACGGUGAAGGAAAAUUCAAGGAGUCACUUGUCAAUGAUGUAGUAGGACUACUAAGCUUGUAUGAAGCCACACACCUUAUGAUGCAUGGAGAAGACAUAUUGGAAGAGGCACUAACAUUCGCCACCACUCAUCUCGAGUCUGCAAUGCACAGCUUAAGCUCCUUACUUUUGAAACAAGUAAAGCAUGCCUUGUAUCAGCCCUAUUGGAAAGGCCUACCAAGGAUUGAAGCAGUUCAUUAUCUGUCUAUCUAUGGGGAAAUGGAUUCACACAAUAAAGCUCUGCUAUCUCUUGCAAAGUUGGAUUUCAACCUAGUCCAGAAUGUCCAUCAGAAUGAACUAAGUGAUAUUGCAAGGUUAAUCCACAAAUUAUUAUCAGUUAGAUAUAUAUCAGUAAUACUAUAAACAUGCUAAGUGGUUAGUUCUACGAGUAACUUUUUUGUUUUUGAGAAUUGUUUCAGGUGGUGGAAGGACUUGGAUUUUGUGAACAAACUACCUUUUGCUAGAGACAGGAUGGUUGAGUCUUACUUUUGGGCUUUGGCAGUCUACUUUGAACCUGAGUAUCACCUUGCUAGGAUGAUGUUGUGUAAAUUUGUUGCUAUAAUAACAAUCGUUGAUGACAUUUAUGAUGUUUAUGGCACGUACGAAGAACUAGAGCUUUUUACCGAAGCUGUCGAGAGGUUUAAAUUAAAUUUGACAAACUAUUUUUUUAAUUCCUAUUACAUGUAAUUAAUCGUUUAUCAUGUAAGAUCAUCACUUGACACAGUUUAACUAAAUUUGAUAAGGUGGAACAUCUCCGCUGCCGAUCAGCUGCCAGGUUAUAUGAGAGUUUGUUAUGAGGCGCUGCUGAAUGUGUAUACUGACAUUGAAGAAAAGCUUGCAAUGAAGGGAAACUUGUAUCGCAUCCGCUACGGUAGAGAAGCAGUAAGACGUACUACUAAUCCUAAUAUAUCUUGUUCGUUUUGUAAUUAUCAAAGAGACUAGAUAUAAUUGAUUUGUUUUAUGCUCUCAGUUUAAAGUUCAAGUUAGAGCUUACUUCCAGGAAGCCAAAUGGUUCAAACAAAAUUACACACCAACGAUGGAUGAAUAUAUGGAAGUAGAACUUAAUACGUCCUUCUUCGCGUUCUCAACCACAGUGUUUCUUGGACUGGGAGCUAUUGUGACAGAAGACUCCAUGGAUUGGGUGUUCGAUGACCCUAAGAUUGUAAAGGCUACAUCAGUAGUCGGCAGACUCUUGAAUGAUAUAGUCGGCCACAAGGUACAUCCUCAUAUUUGCAUCAGUAUUCAGACUACUACUGUCCUCAAUCGAUCUUUGGAUCUUAUAACCGUAGCCUUGUGAUUGUAAAUGUAUGUAGUUUGAGCAAAAAAGAGAACAUAUUGCUUCAUCAGUGGAAUGCUACAUGAACCAAUAUGGUGUCACAGAGGAAAAAGCGAAAACUGAGCUAAUGAAGCAAGUCAAUGACGCCUGGAAAGAUAUAAACGAAGAGUGGCUCCAGGCCAACACGAGUAUCCCGAAGACCCUACGAUGGUUUAUUCUAAAUCUUGCUCGUUCUGGCGAAGUUAUCUACAAAAAUGAAGAUGUGUUCACUCAUUCUAAAACUGUACUCAAGAGUUGUCUUGUCUCUCUAUUCGUCGAACCCGUGCCUGUGUAAACUUUUUUUGGUAAUGUCGUGCUUGAGUAAACUUGAUAUAAAGUCAUGUCUCCAAAGUCCUGUGAGUUUCAAAGACAACAGGUUCAUGCUUGCUGGCCCUUGAAACAACUGUACGUUUGAAUAGAAGAGUUGAUUGUAUUGUCUGUUGAAUUCAUAAACAUCAAUGGAAUUGUAAGUGUGAUACGUGAAUCCUUUCCACUCCCAAAUCUGAAACUAUAUCUCAAUUCAUCUAAUCCUUGAUCCUAAUUCCUAAAUCGUGCCCAGAUUCAUUACCCUCGUGUUCACCCAAACUGAUUAAUCCCAAUUUUGCCCCACGACUUCCCCCAAUUGGAUCGUUAACCCCCAACUUUUGCUGUCUUCUCUGUUCGUAAACUUAAUCCUUAACUUGCCCUCUUCUUCUGCAACAACACGACUUUGGCGCUUCGACACCGUUGGACUUCUUGAUUCGUUGUCUGCCACUGCGCCCCUUAAUUCUCAAGUUUUCUGUCAUCUGUUUAUUCUUGUUUUUUUUUUUUGGUCAAUAGAGAUCAACGCAUUAAAUCAAAGUCAGAAGACAACACAGUACAAUUGAAAGCAAAACAAAGAGAACAGAAACAGAACAAACAAACAAAAAAGAAAGAAAGAAAAGCCGCCAGAAAACUUGAAACACUAAUAGUUAGCUAGCUCGCACAGCUAGCUCCAAAGCCAGAUUGAGGAGGACCAGGCAAUCCAUCACUCCUUAAAACAUUGAUCAGAGAGUUUAGAGGCCUGCUGGCCCAUUCCUGAGAGCACAAACUCUGGAUGGCAAGCUUAGCCGCUGCAUUUGCAAGGAAGUUAGCUUCUCAUGGAACCCAGUUCCAAUGAAUCCUUCUGAAAAGUGGCACCAAGUGAGCAACCUUCUUUAGGAUAGGGGAGAUUCUCCAACAAGGAGAAGCUAAAGAUUCAUUUAGAGCCUUGAUCACCUCCUAACAAUCUCCUUCGACAAUAAUAUGCUCCAAUUUCAGAACCACCGCCAUUUUGACACCACAAAGAAGCGCCUCAGCCUCAGCUUCUACAGCCGAAUUGUGAGACCGAAAGAGGCUAGCCCCUGCAAUAGACACACCCAUAUGACUGUGAAUAAUAACUCCCGAGCCAUGUAUUGUUGUGGUUUGACUCCUUCCAGGCAUCGUCAAAAUUGAUUUUCACCACAUUUACAAGAGGGGGAACCCACAAAGAAAUGGGUCUUCAAAUAGACUGAGAGGAUUGAAACAAAGACAUCCUAGCUUCUUCCCAGUUCAAAAUACCUCUUUGAAUAUUUUCAAUCACAAGACUAGGGUUUGGAGUACUAUUUCUCAUAACCACUGAACACCUAUACUUCUAAAUCUCCCACAAAUGCAAACAGACAAGAUUAAGCACAUCCUCUCUUUCACAAGAAAACAUACCAACAUUCUUAUGAAUUUCCAACAACCACUCCUCAAGAUGAGAAAUCCUUCCCCUGUCAGGAGUGUAGCCUAGGGAGCACCCGAACCACACAGUUAAAGUUUAGGGACAAUGAAACAAGCAAUACUCAAUCAUCUCUGGAUGAUCACCACAUAUAGCACAAAUUGGAGUUUUCACAAUUUUCCUUCGGAAGAGACACCACAUGGAAGGCAGGGCAUUUGACAACGCUCUCCACAUGAAGUUAGUUAUCUUGGGAGCCAAACUUGGCUUCCAAAUCAAUUUCCAUAUUCUGACAUCAAAAGAGUGGGAAGAGGAAGGCUUACUUACAUGCGGCUUCUUCUGGAAUUCGAAAAGCUUAUGAUAGCCACUUUUUACAGAAUAGUUUCCCGACUUUGUAUAAGGCCACACCAAUGCAUCAUCAUCAGCUGCAUUUCCAAUUGGAAUAGCCUUGAUUGUUGUGAUAUCAUUUUCCUCCAAAAAUGGCUCAAUGUGAGAAAUAUUCCAAUUUCUAUCCUCAUUAAUUACAUCAGCCACAGCCAAGGCAGUGAAGCGAUUAGAGGUAAUAAUAGGUUUGAUCAGUCCCCAAUUAGAAUUCGGAACCCAUCUAUCGGUCCAAACAUCCACAUUUUUUUCACUAUUAAUCUGCCACAGAGCAUGCUCACUUAUCGUCUCACGACCUGCUAAAAGGCUGUUCCAUACCCAAGAAGGCCGAGAACCUUUCUUUGCUUUCAAGAAAUUGGAGUUUGGGAAGUAUCUUGCUUUCAUGACUUUACCCCAUAGAGAAUUCGGUCUGUUGAUCAGUCUCCAUCACUGUUUAGUCAACAAAGCCUUGUUGUAAGUGUGAAGAUCUUUAAAGCCAAUGCCACCCUCUAACUUGCUUGUGCACAACGGGUCCCAAGCCUUCCAAUGAAGCUUGUCCUUUGAGUCCGAGAAACCCCACCAGAAAAUUGAGAUGUCAGAAUUAAAAGCUUUGCACAAAGUAACUGGUAAAAGAAAAAUGGACAUAGGGUAGGCUGGGAUUGCCAUAGCCACCGCUUUGAUGAGCACCUCCCUUCCAGCUUGUGAGAGAACAUUAGCUUUCCAACCCUCCAAUUUCUGCUUAAUUCUUUCACGGAUGUAGGCCGAAGCACUCUUCUUUGAGUUUCCCCAAUGAGUAGGGAGACCAAGAUAAAUACCUGGCUUAUCUGAAAUAGGGAUGUUAAGUGUGGAAGCUAUUGAUUCCUUAAGCUGCAAAGGAGUGAAAACUGAGACGAAAAUAGAGGAUUUUCCAAGAUUGAUUGAUUGCCCUGAAGCUGUGCAGUAGGAGUCAAGAAUGACUUUAAGAGAGUUGCAGUUUGCUGGGGUGGCUUUAAGGAAGAACAGAGAAUCAUCUGCGAAUAGGAGAUGAGAAAGACCAGGACAUCCCGUACUCAAUUUGAUUUGUUGAAGAUGAUUGGAGCAAGUGGCUGCAAUGAUGGAUUUGGAAAGGACUUCCCCUACAAUAAGGAAAAGGUAGGGAGAGAAAGGGUCUCCUUGCAUGAGUCCCCUUGCAUGAGUCCCCUCGUGGGAGUGAAGGAUUGGCCCUGCUUCCCAUUAAUUAGAAUUGAGAAAGACACAGAAGAGACCACUUUCAUAACCAGGCGAACCUAGUCGGAACAGAAACCAAAUUUCAACAAAGCAGCCUCAAGAAAGUUCCAUUCUACCCUGUCACAAGCUUUGUUCAUAUCCAACUUUAAAGCAAACUUAUGAUCAACCUUGGACUUCUUCAACUUCAAAUAAUGGUAGGCUUCAUGAGCAAGAAUUAGGUUGUCCUGGAUUUGGCACCUUGGCACGAACGCAUUCUGGCGUUCAAAGAUUAGAUGAGGGAGAAGUGGCUUAAGUCUGUUCACUAGCAACUUGGAAAUGAUCUUGAUGGAGCUAUUACAUAAGUUGAUAGGCUUGAAUUGAGAGACACUCUCCGAAUGAGGAACCUUGGGGAUUAAGACAAUAUUUGUCUUGCGGAUGUUAUUCACUAAGAACUCACCCCUGUAAAAACAAUUAACAGCAGAGUUGACAUUAUCACACACAAUUUCCCAAUAUUUCGAGUAAAAGAAACUUGGAAAGGAAUCUGGUCCCGGAGCCUUGAAAGUCCCCAAUUGAGUAACAGCUUUUUGAACCUCAUAAGCCGAAAAAGGUCAAGAGAGAUCCAAAUUUUGUUCAUCAAAUACAGAGGAAUGAACAUUAUCUAGAGCAUUUCCCCAACACCUAGAGCCAGAAGUUGUGUAUAAAUCACCAAAAAACUUGGUGAAGGCAUUUCUGACCUCUAAGUCACCACUGAUCCAAAUAUUAGCACCCAAGCACAGGCUGCUAAUUCUAUUCAUCUGCCUCCUGAAAAUUGUAGACAAGUGAAAAACUUUGAAUUAUGAUCACCCUCUAGCAGCCAAUUUAUCCUGGAUCUCUGCUUCUAAAAAGAUUCCUCAAGGUUCUAGGUGUGGUUUAUCUCCUGAAGCAAAGCCUGCUCCUUUUCCUUCGAGUCACACAAGACCGAACCCUCUUGUAAAGAUAGAAGGUCAUUUUGGAGACUCUCAACACGAAGCUUGUUAUUUGGAAACUUGACCUUGCUCCACCUAGCUAAAUCAAAUUUGCAAGAUUCCAGAUUCUCACUCCAUCUCCAAAAAGGAUCAGAGCACUCCGACUUCCAACAAGCAGCCGCUACUUCAUCAUAAUCCGGAUCCUUCACCCAACUGGCCUCAAAGCUGAAAGGCUUUUUAAAUCUCUCUACUUUUGCCUGGAAGUAUAGAAUCAUAGGGCAAUGAUGUGACCCAAUUCUCGGUUUAUGUUUGACAAAAGACUUCGGCCAAUCAUGAAGCCAUUCAGCAUUCUCAAUUGCUCGGUCCAAACGCUCCCUGAUAAUCUCAUUGACAUCUUCUCGCCUGUUUUCCCAUGUGAGGCGAGGACCUGUGAAAUGGAGAUCAAGUAAACUAUUGUUGUCCAUAAAAUUCUUCAAAAAACGAGUUCUACUCCAACUCCAGGAAACACCUCCCUCCUUCUCAUCCAUGGAAACAAUUUCAUUAAAAUCCCCAAUCCAGACCCAAGCACUAGGAUUAGAAAAAGCAAGAUUCUCAAUUGAGGACCAUAAAGGAAGCUUGUCUUCAUUGUAAGGAGGGCCAUAGAAGAAAGUGACCCGAGUAGGAGCAUCGACUGAAGAGAACUUAAUCACAGUAUCAAUCAAAUUCUGACUCCUGAAAAUAAUCUCAACAUCAACUUCAGGGCGCCACUAAAUAGCUAAACCACCAACAUAAAUUCGAGACGGCAACACAGUCUCCCCCUUGUAGAAUUUAAACUGGCCCCACAAUCUAUUAACCCUGAAAUUCGAUUGUUUAGUUUCAUAGAGAAAAACCACGGACGGCGAAUGAGAGCGAAUGAGCUGUCCAAGUUUCUGGACUGUCAAGGCUCGUCCUAGACCAUGACAGUUCCAGGAAAGGAUUUGACUCAUUGACUCCUUAUGGCUGUAGGACAGCCACCACCGCCCUGGAGAGAGGAUUGCUCCUCCAGCUCAACAACCACAUCAGACAAAACAUUGCUCCCCUCUGCAAUUGGACCUCAUGAAGAUUCUAAUCACUGUUGAUCAAACCCGCCUCAGUCCUAAACCCAGGCUUCUUCCGCUGCCUAUAAACUUCUCUUCUAACCCCAGGUAAAGAUCCAUGUACCCUUCCACCAAUAGAAGCACUUCCACGAGAGCUGGGUCUUCCCCUUUUUCAAGAAAGCCUAGAUGAAGAAAUCGGAUACGAAGCCUCCAGAGACGAUAAAAGCUUUGUUUUGGACCCCGACACAUCAAGACCUGGAUUUUGGACAUGGUUGGAUUGGAUAGAGGGUGGAGGUGAGAGCACAGAAGAAGAUGGGGAAACAAGUUUGGGGUUAUGGAUUUGCGGCAAGGGAAGUUCACCAAUGAUUGGAAUAUGGUUAAGUGAAUCGGGGUUAAGUGAAAGAGGGUUUGUGUUGAUAGGGGAGAGGGUGAGAAUGGGCUUAGAAGACAAGGGCCCAAGUCGGGAAAGGCCUAAAUUGAUAAAAUGUGAGCAGGGUAAAGCAAGGCUGGGCCUGGGAUGGCAAUCUUGAGACUGAGAGUGCGAAAUGGGCCUUGAGGAUAUGAUAGAGCACUUUAGGGCCCACUCUUCAUUGGUUUUCGCCGAGAUGAUGGCAAUCUUUAACCAAUUAGGGCUAGGAAAAGACUCAGACAAGGCAUAGCUGGAAUUCAUAGAUGAAAACCAAGCCCGAAGCCUGGGGUUGGAAGAGGUCACGAGGGUGGCAUCAAAAUUUGAACCCUAUUCACAGAAACAACGCAGGCUAGAGACCUGGCUUUGUACAAAGUUCAGAGCAUCAACAGUGACAGGAGAGGGGUCAUAGCUUCUAGGGCUCACAAAAGCCAAAGCCAAAUUUGAAAGUUCCCCAGCAUGGACCACAAUCUCAGACUCCCUGACACAAGGCUCAUUCAAACUCGCUGCAUUCUAAGUUCGACCCUGUGAUCAAGAGUGACUGUUGGGGUGGCUGUAUGGGGAUGAGUUUGACGACCACCGGGUUUUUGGUUUCCGUCAAACUACACUCGCCGGCCUGUCCAACCACGACUGUUGCUUCUUGGAAGAAACACCCUUCCUCAUCCACGGACCAUACCACUGGAUUUCACUUUCGACUUCCUCUGGGCAAACUAGGUGUAGAUUUUUCCAGCCAGCCAUGUUAUGACCCAGUCUACUGCACUUGUAGCAAAAAUCUCUCAGCCCCUCAUAAGCGAACUCCACCCUAGUUUUUGUGUAGGAGUUCAGCGGCAACCAGAAACUGGUGGGCAAAGGAUUUCUAGAGUCGAUCAGGACCUUGACUCUAAGAAAACCCCUCAACUUUAAAUCCACCGAGGAGUCUUCAAGCUCCAGAACAGUCUCAAUCUCAGCACCAAUCAUCUCAACAUUCUUUUGGUUCAUCUUUUCCCUAGUCAAGCCAGAAAUUUAGACCCAGUACCACACUUUAUGAAAGUGAGCAUCUCUAGUAGUGAGGUUAGGGAGCCAACGUACCACAUUGAAUCUCAUGUUGUCAACGUGCCAAGGGCAGUCCUCAAGAAGAGUCAAGACACUUUCUGGUGGGACUCUGAUAGAGAAAACAUUGUGGUGGAGGUAAUUAAUCUUGUAGUUUCCCACUUCCUUCCAGGCAGUGCGUAUGUAGAGCACCCUUAAUUCCACCAAUGUUUGGAACCUCAUCAGCUAGCAGAGCUCCGAGCAGAGACACCCCGUUCUCAACCUCAUCAAGUGAGCAUGAGUUUUCCAGUCUGGAAGCAAAAGCAGACAUGUUGGAAAUUAAGAAACAGAUCUGUCUCUCAAAAGAAAACACCAAAACAAAAGCAAAACAAAGCUACCAUGUGUGGGUAUAGAGGGAACUCCAAAAUAAUGGAGAGAAUGAAAGCUGUUUAUUCUUGUUGUCUUGCAAAUUUCCAGUGUUCUGAACUUUUCCUGUACUUUCAAGACUUCCUGUGCUGGGUCUUUUUGUUGUGUUGUUUUGUUCUGUAUAUACUCUAGGCUCUACUCGAAAUUGUUCAGUGUAUGCGUUGGCUUAGGGGUCAUCAUUUGGUCCGCGGUAGUAAAAGCAUGUAGACGGUCGGCCUGAAGGGCCAAAGCCCAGCCCGGCCCAUAGAAAAGCCCAUCUCGACCCGACCCAUAGGGCAUGAGGCCGGGCUAGGGCGGAGGGUUCAAAGCCUUGGCCCGACUCAUUACAUGCCCAUCAAAGCCCGCCUGGCCCGGCCCUAAAAAGCCCGCCCAAAAACCCUCUCCAAAGCCCUAUUAAUUGUUUUAUAAAUUUUUUUUAUAGAGUCAAUAGUUAAAUAUGUGAACUUAAUUAAUGCAUUAAGUCAUAAUUUAUUUUGAUUUUUUUAUUACAUUUAGUUCAAUCAUUAAUAAAUCUAACUUUUUUUUUUUUAUAGUUUUUUUGUUUUAUUUGAUAAAAUUUUAUUAGAUAUAUGUAUAUAAUAUAUCCGGUUCGGCCCAUCUAAAAAGCUCGGCUUGGCCCUAAUAAUCCCAUAAGGCCCGGGCCCAUGGGCUUUGAUUUUUUUGAAUAGCCCGGCCCAGCCUAGCCUGAGCCCAUAAGACUUGAGUAGGUGUAACACCCUGACCUUAAACUUGAUUAAUUAAGUAAACAAAUUAAUUAAUUCCCAAACACCAUCACAGUUGCAGCACAAUUUGAAUAGCAAACAAAAUUCAUAAUUAUCAAUCACCUUUUCAAAACAUGGUCAAACUCAACACCAGCAUUAGCCCAACAGUACUCAUAAUCCAUAAUCACAGUCAUUGUUCAAAAUUGAAAUUUAGUUACCAUAGGUGACGUCAAGUUUACCUUUUCGUCUCUAACAAUAGCCAUGACCGACUAGUUGUCGAUUUCUAAUCUCCUUCAACUCGAUUUCUCACAUAACGAACUGAAUGACGACGGCCAAUGUCUUCCAUUGAUUGCCAUUCGACUAUUUGUUGCAAGAUCAAAAGAGCCCGAUGUCACUUGAGAAACGUCGUUCGGAUAUUCAUCGUCUUACGAAGUUGAACACCAGCGAAUUUAGGGAGAGCUUUGGGAGGUCGAUGCGAUCUCCCCUCACUUGUUCUCUAGAGAACUUGGGAGAUACCAGGCGUAUCUCGACUCAGGCCGUCGGGUCUUUCUAGAUUGAGGAUCCUCCACUCCCCUUCCUCGGUAGGUCGGUGAGCAAUAUAUCACCGAGUAGGUCGGUGUUCUCCCUCUCUCUUAAACCUUCCUUUACUUUCUCUCUUCCUCUUUCUUCCAGAUUCUCGACCCUUCUCUUUUUCUCCAAAAAUAUCUAUGUCCCUUUCUCUCAUUUUAUUUAUUUUAAUUUUAUUUAUUUAUUCUACUAUUUAUACAGUAUCAAUAUAUGCUAACAGAAAAACAAUAAAUUAUUUAAGCCUAUACAUAUAUUGACUACAUGAGAUAGGCUUUGAUUAAUGUCCCUUUGAUAUCCAUCGACUAAAUUAAUGAUAGCAAUUUCUUUAUUUAGUAAUGUGGACACUCGACUUGUGAAAUCCUGAACUUUUAAAUAAUUUAUCUAAAAAUAUUUGUGUAUAUAUAUACACACACAUAUGAAGGUAAGUAAUAGUUCUGAAAACACAAACCAUUUUUCUUUACAAAGAAGAUGUUUUACAUAACUUACACAAUCAUUUGUUCAAAAGCCAAGGCCUACUGUGUUUGUUUUUAAAAGAAGGUUAAAUACAUACUUACGAUAUCUCCAUUCACAAAGCUUUGUUUAAAACCAAAGUAUUUACUAUAUCUAGUUAAAAGAAAGUUAAAUACAUAAUUGUAUGGUACCCUAUUCACAUAUAUUUUACAUAUUCCUAAUACACUAUAAUUCAGUUUUACAAAUAAUAGGAACUAGCUACAGCAAUCACUUCAUUUUGGGUUACAAUUGGCUGUAGAAACUAAUUGGAUUUGCUUGUAUGACUUUCAGCAACUCUAAGUUCCAGUUGUAGGUGUUCUAUUUCUUCCUUCAGCUUGCUUUGGAUCUUUGAUUAAACUUGCAACAUUUACAUAUCAACAAAUCAGUAAAAGAGAAAGUUACACAUGUUUUAUACUUUUUACCCUAUAUUAAAGUGUGCAGGCACACUUUUGCUUGGGUUUUACAUUUCUUACCCUAUGCCAAAGUGUGCAGCGACACAUUUGCUUGUGUUUUGCAUAUAGUUACCCUAUACCAAUGUGUGCAACCACACUUUUGCUUGUGUUUUAUACUUCUUACCCUAUACCAAAGUGUGCAACCACACUUUGGCUUGUGUUUUGCAUAUAGUUGCUGAAUGAGCAGCUGAAAACUUGGUCUCCAAAGUUCAAAAUUUCUGUUGGCAGAUAAGGAUAAACUUCAGCUGAUUUUUAUAGACAUAUUUGUGAAGCACAUUCACUAGUAUAAAUAGAGGUCUUCUCAUGAAGUAGUAACAAGUAGAGAAGUUCAGAAGUUAGAAUGAAAGUCAAGAGAGAAAAUUUAGAGUAGAAAAAGACUAGUAGAGGUCAGAAGCAAGUGAAAGAACCUAGUACUGAAGUUUCAGCUUCGGUAAAACAAGUUUGAGGUAGGGGAAGUUAUGGGGAAUCUCUUUGUUUUAUAAUCUUGUUAUCUUGCUUUGGAUUUGUACAUGUUGUUUGUUAAAGGUGGUUAUUAUGUUUAGCUUUUCAUCAUAUUAUUAUAUGAUCUUAUGUCAACAUCAUAUUACUAUUUGAUCUUAUGUUGAAUAAGAAAUGAAUGAAGUUAUGGGGUUGAGACUAUUACUUGAAAGGGACCAGCAAUUGUCUGCCUUUGUAUACAUAUAGGGAGAGAAGCCCUUUCAAUGUUAUAUUGAUAAAAUAAUCUCAUGGCAAGAAGAUACUGGUGACCAAGAAGAGUACAAGAGUACCAGCAACUGAAACCUAAAAUUAUGUGCAUACACUUAUAUUGAAAUUACAUGGAUGAGAUUUGUUCUACUGAGUUUUUUGGCUUACCCCUUUAUGAAUUUGUGCAGAUGUUACACUUGAGGGAUAAGACUUGAUGUCUAGAAAGAAUAUGAAGUCUAGGAGGAGGAGUGAAUCUAUAGCUUGCUGUUUUUUAUUCAAGUUUGUGUAAUAAGGCUACUUUCCUGUUUAUUGUAAGAAUAAUACUUAUGAAAUAAAGUUCUCCUUUACCAAGUCACUCUGGUUCUAAGUUUUUUCACAUAGCUUCUAUUUGUCAAAGGUUCUCUUAUCUUUGACAAAUCGAGGCUAUUCACGUCCUUACCCGGAAAAAAAUAUAUAUAUUCUCAAUUUCUGGGUCAGGGUGUGACACGACUAUUAUUACUAACGUUGUGUAUCAGGUAUUACAGUAGGGCCGGGCUGGCCGGGCUUUUUGACGAUCCCUAGAUGAAGUAACUGCUACUACUUUAGCGUCUAAAUUUUCUUUUGAUAGCUUUUAUUGCAUCUCUUCAGUUGGUCAGUCUGGGGGUUUGUUGCUAGGGAAAAUGUCUAUUAGCUUUAAAUUUGAAGAUUUUUUUUCCCACAAAUAAAAACAUAUUCUAAAAUUCCCAUCAACCCUAAAGCUCUUAGAUAUAUAUUCACACUAACAAAAUUUUUAUCUUUUUGUGUUUUUUUCCUUACCAAACUACCUUAAUUUCUAUCUCUCGUCACUGCUUUCUCCCACUCACUCUCUUUCAGAUCCUCUCUCUCUCUCUCUCUCUCUCUCUCUCUCUCUCUCUCUCUCUCUCUCUCUCUNNNNNNNNNNNNNNNNNNNNNNNNNNNNNNUGCCACCACCUCUUAACGGCUCCUCUCUCCACUCCCAACCCUCGCCAUCAAACACAUUGAUGUCACCAAAGAAUCACGCCGCCGGCACCUCUGACGCCGUUGGUGGCUUGUUGUGUGUUUCUUAGCCGCAACAAUAUGUUUUGCCUUCAAACGCCGCCGCGUCUCCUAUCUUGGUCUAGAGGGAGCUGGAGGGAGAUCACUAUGCCGAUUUCGGUAAUUUUCGGUAAGUCUAGGGUUGAUUUCCGGUGAGAUCGGGCUAGGCUCGGGCCAUGCUGGCAAGGCAUCGGUGAGGAUGACAACAACGAUGGUAUGCAUAUCUCAUAAGCUCAUUUCAUGAGGAAGAUGAGAUUGAAGAGGGUGCUAAUUCGGCGAUCAAAGAAGACGAGAGUUGCCGGAACGUGUCGUUGACACCAGAGAAGGCGAUGAGGGUUAUGGAGGCGAUGAGAAGGAUUUCGUUUGCUGGAGUGGCUUCAGAUUGGGCGGAUUGGGUCCCUGAAGAGAACUGGAUGGAUCAGCUUCACUUGCUCCGACAAUCACCCCAGAGUUAAGGUAUUGUUCCUGUAAGGCGUUGUUCAUGUUUUCUCGAAUUGAAUUGGAUUAAAAUUUGUGAAAUUGCUGCACUAUAUGUGUGGGAUGAUAUCAUUGAUAUUCCCCCAAUAAAUUAUAUGUGUGGUCUAUUAGUAGAGUAUUAUCUUUAAAAUGUACGUGUUUUUAAAUUUUUCGGCUUCUAAGUUGUAAUCUUCUAGUUAUAAUAGCUAUGGUAGUUGACUUUUAGGUCGUCACUGCAACGGGAAGGGUGUUAGAACUCACUUGAUUGAAGGGUCCUGAUUCCUGAUCCUUAUUGGCUGCAGAUUAACCCAACCGGAUGCAACCCUUGAAACUAAAGAAAUAUGGUCCAAACAGUGUCUACUUUUUAGAGAAGUAAAACUUUGGUAUCUCAACUUUGAAAAACUUUAAAACAAUAUCUCACAUUCUUAAUCGGACCGAAGAUCGGUAUGUGGAGCCGUUAGCUCCGUUAAAAAAAACCUAACGUCAGUCAUAUUUUUGUUAUAAAAUGACCAAUUUAACCUUCAGUUUUUUUUUGUGUAAUAAGAAAUCGUCCAAACAGUGUUUGACCUUUCAGCAGUUCUAACUUUUAGUAUCUCACAUUCUUACCCCGUUAGAAGAUUGGUAUUUAGUACCGUUAGCUUCGUUUUCGUAUGCUUGCGUUGGUGAAAUGGUAAUGGCCACCGUUAAGAAGGGCAAGGUUGAUUCCUUGAUCUAAGGAAGAUGUCAUGUCGUGGAAUUGAGCGAAACUGUGUUAUUUUGGUUCCCACCUUAUGUCUGCACAAGUUUUUGAGUUGCUCAAUGAAGUCUAAUCUUCUCCGAGCACUUACAUGUAAAUCAACCUGCAAUUCACAAAUCACAACACAAGCCCAGGUCCUUACAUCAAGCUUAGAGCUUCAAUCGAUAAAGCCCAAAAACAUAACUGUCAUGCAGGUCGUCUUCAAAUGUGAAUGAAACAUGUUUUGCAGAAAAAAAAGAAAAAUAAAUAAAUAAAAAUAUAGUUUUGUAUUGGGUGUCCGUGUUUCAACGGUUUUAGAAUAAGAUUGUGUUUGCGGGCUUUAACGGGUUCCGAUGGAAACACACAAGCCCGACGGGUUCUGCCUGUUUCAACCCGUUCACUUAACGGGUUUUUGCCGUGUGGCUUAGCCCGUUAAUGAUCCGGCACGUUAAAAACCUGCCCGUGACAGCACGAACCCGGCCUGUUGCGAGGCCUCUUUAGGUGUAUCCACUCAGGUCCCAUCUGCAGGAAACAUAAUCAUUAGUCAGAAGGCUUGAUACUUGUACACUCUAGCAAGAGCCAAGACCAGUACUGUAUUGUGUGAAAUUUCCAAAGAGACUGGUGAUGUCUUCACAUCCUUCUUCGUCGUAAAAUUUGUAAAACAAUCAAGUAGUUCACAAUUUCCUCUGGACAUUUAUGCUCAUAAUGGUUACUGUAUUCAUGUGAGAUAAUAGUAAUUCUUUUCUAGAAGGGGAUGAUAUAUGCUUUGGAGGUUAAAUAAGAAAUCGUAAAUAAUGAAAUUUACUUUAUAUAUGUGUGAGCUGCAGCGAUGGAUGCCCAUUUGGCUGACCAGUUUGGACCACUUCUAGUUGGACAUUUCUUCAGAUAGUGAACUAGUGAUGCAUUCAAAUGAUCCUUAGCAAAUUUAAUUAAAGCGUUUCUAUAUUCUAGGCAUAUGAUUAAGGUCGUUAAUUAAGCUAGACUAAAGUCACUAUACAUAGGUCACUAAUUCAUGAAACUUGUCGUUGUUUUUGGCACUUUCCAGUUAGGCCGGCUUUCUACCACAAAAAUAAUCAGGAUCAGAGAAUUCUACUAAUUCAUGUUUUCUCUUAUUAUUAUUAUUAAGAAAGAUGAUCAUCAAGCCUUUAUAACAAACAAACAAACAAAAAAACAAAGACAAAAAAGGAAAUUACAGGUUGCAGGCAAGAGCAACAAGAAGAUAUAGCUGUGCUAAGCAACCCGAAAACGACCUAAAGAAACCGUCACAUCCCGGUUCUUAAGUCAAUUUGCGGUUAUUUGCUAUUGGGUUACUUUGACAUUUUACCGUUUUAAGUAACCGUUUACUAUUUAAGACUCCAAAAGUUGACUUUUUCUUCCGUUUGGAAUUUGAGAAAACUUUUCUCCAUGAAAGUCGUAGAGGACGUUAAUACAAAUUCGUAGACAUGCUAUAUAUUAAAAUCGGAGUUAGCAUGAAAAAGUUAUCAGGUAAAAGGGGUAAAUUUUGAGUGGUAAAAAUGGGGUAAAUUUUAGUAGGCUUUAUUUGUUGUGGGUAUUAAGUUGGACCGGGUGUGGAGCAGCCCAACACCCCCCCCNNNNNNNNNNNNNNNNNNNNNNNNNNNNNNNNNNNNNNNNNNNNNNNNNNNNNNNNNNNNNNNNNNNNNNNNNNNNNNNNNNNNNNNNNNNNNNNNNNNNNNNNNNNNNNNNNNNNNNNNNNNNNNNNNNNNNNNNNNNNNNNNNNNNNNNNNNNNNNNNNNNNNUCUCUCUCUCUCUCUCUCUCUCUCUCUCUCUCUCUCUCUCUCUCUCUCUCUCUCGCCCGUUUUGACCCUCCGGAUUUGUCGCUUCCGUCCAUCGCCGUCCGGCCAAGAUAGGCGGCAUGCUUGGUAUCAAAUCGAAGCUUGGAACAUCCUCUUCAAGUCUAGGUAGGUGGCUGGUCGUGUGCGCCACCGUGAGGGAGGAAUCACGCUGAGAAGGAGCGGCUGUGCGUGGAGGUGUUUUGCCGGAAAUUCUCUUUUCGGGAAAUUCUCUUUUCGGGCCACCAUAGCCGGAACUGUUGGUCUCAACUUGAAGCUCUCCCUCUCAGCAGCAAAACCCUAAAAGGAUACAUCCUAACUCGAGCUAGGUAAGGAGAAUCGAAGGUUUGAAUUUCUAGGGUUCUUUAUUGUGUUUUUGUUCGAUUGACAUGUUUAAGCUUGAAAUUGGACUUAGUGAUAGUUAUGAAAGUUGUUUGGGAUGUUGAGAGGAAGAUGCUGUUAAAAUUUGGUAGCCAUUGGGGGCCGCCGGAGUCGGCUACCGGCGGAGCAGACGGCGGCGCCGCCGCUGUAAGGGGCUUUUCAGGGUUUUAAAUAUGUUAUAUUAAGGGGAGUCUAAUGGUAUGAAGUUUGGAAUUUUUGGAGGAGUUUUGGUUAGGUUUGGAAUUUUCCAGAGAUUGGAGAAAUUGGCAGUUGAUAGAAUAAAUCGGACCAUUGGAUUUUCUUGGUUAUGGUCCUAAAGUGCUAGAAUCGAUGAAGUGAGGUUGUAGAUGAAGUUUGGUGAAAAAUCUAAGUAGCUUAUUAGUGGGUUAAUUGGAAGGGUUUCAGUGCAUAAGUGAAAGCAUUUAAUUUCCUAAAUCAAAAAAUGGUUCUAAAUAUAUUUAUUGUGUCAAGAUACGAAGGGAACCUCGCUUGAGUGGCGAUUCGGAUAUCGUCGAGCUUAUGCCUAAAUCUGUGAGUGGACAUUUUGGUUUUAAUUAAAUAAGCAUGCAAGAUUUUAUAAUUUAUUAGUUUAUUUUCCGAUCUUAUAUUAUAACUUCGGCUUAUGAAAUGAUCUUAGAAAUUAUUUGAGUUUGAUGCAUGGAUUUAAUUGUUGGUCAAGAUUUAUGGAUUUGAGCUCAGAUUAUUAAUUUGAUAUUUGAGUUUGGAUAUUUUUAUAAAUUUCGGAUUUCAUUAAAAUGGUUUUAAUGGUAGACUUUGAGAUAUAUAAAAGAUUUCCGAAAAUGGGAUUUUCGGUAGUUUGCUAUUUAUAAUUUUCGAAAUUAUUGGUGGAAUAUCGAUCUUGAUCUCGAGAAUGUUUUAGCGAGUAUUUUGGAUUGAGAUAUUAAUCAUGAUUUUUAUUUGUUAAUUAAAUCUAGCUUAUAUUAUGGUUUGGAGAAUAUUUUGACAUGUGAGACACGUCAUUGAGUUAUUAUAAUUUCUUAUGAUGAUUUUCAAGUACGGUUGGGAACUGUACCAUUCUUAUGAUCUUGGAGAAGAUUAAUGAAUUUAAGUGUUUUCGUAUGUUUUAGUCACCAUAAUAUAAGUUUAUAUUGAUUACUGCUAGCUAACUAUUAUUAGCGGCUACUCACCAUAGGCGAGUAGAGCGCUCAACGUGGGACUCUAUUAUAACCUGGGAGGCAACCGAUCGGUAUUUAUAUUUAUUUGUUAGCUAGCCAUUAUUAGCGGCUACCCAUUAUAGGUGAGUAGAGCGCUUAGCAUGGGACGCUAUUAUAGCUUGGGAGGUUCUUUUUACAUGGUGAUAACUCUUCCCCAUAUUUAAUUUUUCUCAGUUAUGUAAUUGAUUAACCAGCGGGGCUGGUUUGUCCAUUCUUAUGAUUUCUGGAUUUAAGUAGUAUGAUUUAUCAAAAUUGUGUGCAGCUAAGUUUUUAAAGUUGAAAUGUGUUUUGUUAAAUUACUUAAUUAUUUUUGUCCACUCACUCCAACGUUUUUAAAUUACUUUCCCCUGGGCCUUUUGGUUUUAAAUGCCCAGUGUGCAUGCUAGGUUUAAAUGAGGUUGAGCGUACAUGGAGUUGAGGCACAGUCAAAGGUUGCUUCCGCUUAAUCUUUAUUCUUUAUUAAUCUUUCCUUAUUAGAUAUGCUCUGAUAGUUAGCUAGUGAUUUAAUGUUGUCUUUGUUUUUGGUUGUGGAAUUCCUAAUGUUUAGUAUUUGAUAAUUUGGGAGAUGUGAUGAAUUUGGGGAGCAGGAAGGCUCCAGGUGUUGGGGUUGGUUUAAUUUGGUUAUAGAAGUGUAAGUUUGAUUUUUCAGGAAAUGGUUGUUCAUUUUCAAGGUAGAUUAUACUGAAAUUUUGGUAAAUUUUCUUUAGAGGUGUACCCCGCAAGACUUAUCCCGGGUUUCAGGGUGAAACUCAGGGCGGAUCCUGACAUAAACUACCAUGUGUUCAACGAUAGCUAAUGCAGAAAUGAAAAUGAUAGAAAAAUUUGGGAACAUCCUACACAGAGCCUGGAACCAUCCUACAUAGAGGAGUCUCCGUGUUUUUCAGCCUCCACCAUUGCAGAAACCAAUUGACCGGAUUCUAAAAGGUCCAAACCCAGUUAUAUAUAAUAAAUGUUGUACCGACACAAACGAUCUCUGACGAUCCUUCUUUGCAUUGGUAGUGAUAGUCAGUUUCUAAGGAUGCACAAACUCCUCUUUAGGCUUGUUCUUGGCUCCCAGAGGACCCAACAUUACUCUUCUUCGGCGGAGUCACUAGAAGAGUCCCAGCCAUGUUAGGCAGUGACAGCUCCAACACAGGCCCCUAGACCAGCGUCCUCAGCUCGCUUACUGUAGACUGUGGCAUCAGCAGAUGCAUCACGCUUCUUUCCGGUUACCAUGGGAUAAUCAGCCAACGCCUAGAGAAUGGUUGCCGGUUUCAGAAUGACCGAUUGCAGAAAAGCUAACACACGCAUGAGAUCCUCCAUUGUAACUCCCGGCUUUGACAAACGAAACCCAACGCUAGGGAUUUAUGGUAAAAUAUCAAUUUUACCCCUGAUAAAUGCAUAAUGGCUAACGAGCCUUUUAACGGAGUGUGAUUGUUGGGCCGGGCUUCAUAUUUGGUGUACCAAAAUCAAUAAUUUGUAACUUGGGUACAUAAAUGCAUAGUCAUCUUAAGUUGGUGUAUUGUUCCUGAAAAUCUUUUAGGCAAAAACCGACUAACCAAUCGAUAUUGACAACCAACAAAGCCAAAUUAUGUGCCAAACAGGUGUCCUCCCACAAUAAUUUUCGGGCUUCAUACUUGUGUACUGUGACGAUCAAACUAUCGUUAUACAAACAAUGGGAGAAUUUUCUCCAAAAAUAUCUAAAUAAUCUAAUGAGUGCAUUCGGGGGAUGACAAGGAAAGAACCCUAGUUGCAGUUUUCGUAAGGUCGGAUAGAUGCUGAUAUUUAUAUAGCUCUUUAUUCUUACACAUUACACAUCAUGCUUUUUGGAUACAGCUAUUCUUGAGGUAGAAUAUUGUCCUAGAUGUUUAAACUAUUGUAGGAUUUGGUAACAAAAAAAUUGAUGAUGUCAAGAAACAAUACGAGUCAUGCAGCAACAGCAAGCAAAUUAAAACACCGAAUGAUUAGCAAUAAACAAUCCCCAGAUCUGGUUAUGGUGCAUUAGGUGCUACAGUACAAACUAAUUAAACCUCUCUUUGCCCUUCCACCUAGUCACCAACCUAGGGCAAUCAGGUAAUUUCAGUUCCCAUUUUUCUUUUAUGAAACAGUCUCCUAACUUUCCGACUCUCCCUUUAAAAAAAAGAGAGAAAAAUCAUCGCCACCAUCAUCAUCCUCCUCCUCGCUUAACUUUCCAACGCCCACAAGCCAUGUCCUUCUUCACACUACUCCUCCCAUGGACUCUUCUCCUUACCGUUCUACUCUCUCUACCCCUCUCUCUCUCCUCCUCUUCCUCCAUCCAUGACCUCCUCCGCUCGCAGGGCCUGCCAGCUGGUCUCCUCCCUAAGGAAGUCAAGUCCUACUCACUCUCCGACGACGGCCUCCUCCAAGUCUUCCUCGACGCUCCGUGCCUCACCAAAUUUGAGAACCGGGUUUUCUUCGACAGCGUCGUGAGGGCCAACCUCAGCUACGGAAGUCUCAUCGGAGUUGAGGGUUUGACUCAGGAAGAGCUCUUUCUGUGGCUGCCGGUGAAGGACAUCAUCGUUGAUGAUCCGGGAUCCGGUCUCAUACUCUUCGACAUUGGAGUAGCUCAUAAACAGCUUUCUCUGUCGCUCUUUGAAGAUCCUCCUUCCUGUAAACCCUCAGGUAAUUCCAUCAUGACUAUCAGAUGAUCAUCAUUUGCCUAGCUGUUUAGUUUUCAUUGUUUUUCAUUUUUCUUUCUGAGGGUUUUGUUUUUGUAACAUAUGUUGCGGUUCGUAUGGAUGGUCAUGUGGGUUUCUGUUAUACUUUUGUGUGACCUCAACAGUUUCUUUGGACUUUAAUGUCUGCCAUGUCUCUGAUGAUAGCUUCAGAAAAACUAUUCAACUCAUAGGCUGCUGCUUCUAAUUUUUUUUUUUUUUCAUAACAGAAAUUAUUAUAAAGUAUAUUUGGCCAUUUUACCUGUGCUCUCACAUGAUAAGUCAUAAUUUUCCAAUAAAACAAUGAAUGAAUUUAAAAAAAAUACAUAAAACACAACAAAUAAACCAAAAACACAGAGGAGCUUUGCUUGCUUGCCGGCUACCUCUGUUAUUAACUACUUGUUUGCACUCUGGCAUGCUACAAUCUACAAUUCUACAUUAAGAUUAUGGACUUAGCUAAUGUAUAUGCAUGAAUAGUAUGUAUAUGAGUACCUCAUUAGGCUAUAAACUUGUUUUGUGAGUGUUUAAAAAUGGUGGAAUCUAUAUUGUGGGUACAUGGAGACAAAUUGGCAAUAUAAAUAACAGCUGUUUAAUUAUACUAUACUAAUUUCUGCAUGAAAAACUAGCUAGGUAGCCAAAAUCAGUGUGAGAAUAGCGACAUUUCCACUGUGUUGUGCAUCUUCUUUCUUGGUCCACAAAGCUUGCAUGUAAAAUGGGGUGUGGGUUUGGUUCUUGAGCCUAAUUCAUGUGACUAUUGCAGGUGCAGUAGUGAAGAAUCAUGUGAAGAAGCAGGGAAAAGGGUUUGAAGCUCUGAGAUAGCUAGGGAGAUGAUUCCUAUCUGUUACAAAUGUGUGUUUUUCUAUAAUUGAGCAGUUUAAAAUUGAUUAGUCUUCUUAUUAAUUAAUGAUAUAAGUAUGUAAUUAGAUGGAGGCUAGCUUGAUUAGAGUAAUUAGGAGAGCCUUUAAAGAGGAAUAGGAGGAGUUAGCAAAGAUGUGAGGAAUCUGAUGUUGUAUGUGCUCAACAUAUUAGCGGUUUCUAAUCUUCUAAUCUUUGUUUUUGCCUUUGAUUCUCACCUGUUCCUUAAUCUCUGUCUUAUGUUUAAGCAAAGCAAGGGAUCAAACUUCUUUUAAUUAUUCUCUACUAUUUAAGUAUGAAUUGGCAAGGCAAGUAUUCCAGAGAGUAGGUAUAGAUAUUUUCAAAUUUCAUUUAAAUACUUAACUUUUCUUUAUUAAUAAUUUCAAUUUUAGCUCAUAAUCGACUUUGGAUGGGGUCUUUCUGUUUAAAGAAAUUAUCUCUACGCUGACUAUUAGUUUAGAAGUAAAGCCACUAUGAAUUAAACGCAAAGUCUACAUCCCAAAUCUAUAUUUAUAUAUGCGUGCCGGCCAGGUUCAAAGUCUUAGAGGGUUAUUAGGUUAAAUGAUAUAAAGCUUAUUGUCUAUAUACAUAUGAGGAUGACGAUUGACGAAGUUGUUUCCAUAGUCAUUCCCUGUGGCUAUGGGAAACAAAGGAUCGGUGUAUCCCAAUUGAAGGGAGAAAUUUCAGGUGAAGUGCUCGAGUUUAUAAGUUGAUGUCACGGAUGAGAUGACCAGAACUCCUCCCUAAACCUAUUCGAUGAUGAAUAUUCGAACAAAAUGUCUAAUCGUUGUUAACUUAUGAUGCGUGAUUCUUGAUUACAUUGUUGGUCAGUCAUCAAUAGGAUUGGCUCAUGUUAUUGAGCUUUGUACUAGCUACGUUUCCCGCUUCCAAGCACUGGCUUUACAAAUUACACCAAACUUAGUUUAACAUAACAUGAUCGAAGGUUUGUAUUGUUAAUUCUGUGGGUGCCUGCAUUAUCAUAUAAGUGAUCUUUUGCCACUAAUUUUAUUGAUCUUGAUGGAAGGAUUAAUCGUGUUUGAUUAGUUUAUAGUCGAUGAUGAUCAAGAAAAAACCCUGCCCUCGUGUACAAACUGGAUACACCAUCAUAUACUGCACCUCUUUGUUUUGUUACUUUGUCAUGUUUUAUACUUUUUUGUUCUUUUGUCUUUCACUCUGACUCGUAACUCGUCUUCAUAUACCAGUGUGAUACUGUGAUAGUAUGAUGUUGAACCCCGAAUGUGGGCCAAUGAAAUGUGGGCUCGAGAUUGUAAGAGAGCCCGGACUCACUUUCUUCAUGGAAUGGGAGUUAUGGGACACACACUGAAGACUGGAGUGACACACCCAUUCAAGCAGUCAACUAGUUAGAGCUUCGGCUUUAUCAUAGAAAGAUACAGGCCUUUUGGUCUUAUCAUCAAGAAAUAUCAUGACGAUCCCGCCAUGAGUAUGAUUAUUUAUGCAUUUUUCCGGUCAUUAUUAGUUUUUAAUAAGGACUUUAUAAUAAAAUGUUUGUUUAUUAUUUUAUUGGUAUAAUAUAUCUAUUGUAAAUGUGUCUGAUUGUAUGAUAUAUGAGAGUUUUUGAGGUGAUAAAUAGUCAUUACAUGGUUAUUUAGUUAUUUUUUUAAUCAAUAAUAACCACAUAUUUUGAUAGACAUGGUAUAUAAGAUGAUAUACUAGAAUUUUCUAAUACUAAAUACUAAAUGAUAAUUUCUAAAUUAACAGUGAAAUGAAUGUUUUAGACGAUGGAUUUUUUCAUACUAACAAAGCUAAUAUCUAAAUGACUUUAUGUAAUAACCUAAAACGCAUGUAACCCACACAAUUUUGUAACAUAGAGACAGAGAUUUCAUACAUUUUGGUUUGAGGCCUAGAGAUCUGAUGGUGUACUUUUCCUCUCAAAAUGAAGAACGAAAUCACCAUUAGAAUUGUGCUGGGAUCUUUCCUUACCCAGUAAGGUAUCACUUAUCAGUCUCCUCUGGCCAGGACUCGGUAUAAUAUAAUCAUUAAAUAAACUUAAAAAUUAUGGAUUAGACAAACCCAAAUGAAAUGGUAAAAUAAAGUAAGUGCCGAAAAUAAUAAAAACAAGUUCAAAAAAUUUUCAAAUAGGAUAUUAUCCCCCACGUGGCGGGCACGAGGAUAAUCACCAAAGAUGACACGGCCCCCGCGUUAAAAGCAAAUCCAAUUCCGAUGACGCUUCUUCUUCUCUUUUCAGGCCACAUAUAAUUACCCCAACCCCUUUUCAUUUGCUCUCCCUCAAAAACCUUCGGCGAUUAAUUAGCGAUUAUCUCAGAGAGUCUCUUCUAGGGUUUUAAUGGGAGGCGGCGUGAUGAGGACGGCGGCGAAGGUGGCCGGGAUCGGCAGCGUCAUGCAGGGCGGGAUCCGGGGAUCGCCGGCGGUGCCGUCGUCCGGGAAGUCGAUGCGGACGGCCUCGAUCCCCGUCGCGGCGGGGGUAUCGGCGCAGAGCUUGAAGGGGAGUGACGCCGGGGUGAUCGAGAAGCAGCGGGUGGAGGCGACGGUGGAUGAUUUUGUGGACUGGCAAGUCGUCGGCGGCGAAGAUGAGUUGGUGAUGUCAGCAGGCGAGCCGAUGCCGAGGGUUGUGUUCGGCGCCGCGCCGAGCUUCAAGGAGGCCAAAGAGGCCACCGCUGAGUUGAAAGAUGCUCUCGAUAAGUAUAAUUGCUUAGAGCCUUUUUUCAAUUUUUCUGUUUAGAAUUGCGUUUUGUGUUCUUUCUUCUUGCUAAAUUCGGUGGUGUUUUAUUGCUUAAUUUGAUACAAAAAAUAGUGACAUUCAUCAUUUGAUUGAUCAGAAAUCAUCACAGGUUUCUUUGAUAUCUGUUUUCGAGAGUUUUCAUUUCGAUAGGGAAAUGAUUACAGGUUAUAUCUAGUUUUAUUGUUCAACAGGUUUGCAAUUGGGUUAACAAAUUCUAGUUAUUAGAAAAGUUUCAGACUUUGAAGUUUGAACAUUUUCUGAGUAAAGUAGAAUUUGAGUGUGCUGUGUGUGUUUUUUUGUUUGGCUCUGGAAAUCUCAGUGUAGCUAGGUUUUUUUUGGCUGUGAAAUUGGGGAAAUCAUGGGGUUGUUCUAACAUGUACCAAGGCACCAAAUUUUUAUUCUUUAAAGAUUUUGCUGUCAAUACCAGGUCGAUUUAAUUUGUAGUUUUUUUUUGGUAUAUGGUUUACGUUUUUUAAGCUAACUCUAUCAGUGGUGAACUUUCAGGGCAUACUUAUCUUCACCCAAAAUUACUGAGCUGGAAGACCCGACUGCUGCUGACAAGGUGUCUGGGCAGUCUCUGUUUUCAAACCCUGGAGCCGAAACAGAAUCUGUUCUUGUAACUAGGACUUCAGUGCCACAACAUGCUUAUAAGGCAUUUGAACUGCUGAGUCGAAGUCCUGAGGCUCAGGUAUUGACUGAACUCCACCUCUUAGAUAUAUCUCUUGCAAAGUUGGUCUUAUUUGGACAAUCGAAGUGUAUUUUGUGUUUCAGCUGUAGAUACCAUAAUAACGUGAUGACUACUACACAAUAAUAUGGGAAUAAUUAAUUUCUUGGUUUUAUUCCCAGAAUGUUGUUGCUUCAAUUGCAAGUGACCCGAAUGUCUGGAAUGCUAUGAUUGAAAACUCUGCUGUCAAACAAUUCAUGGAGUCUCAAAAAAACUUAAACCAGGAUCCUUAUGACUCCGCUUCAGAUUCUGAGGUUUUCAAUCCUGUAUCUUCAAAGGAGGUCAAGGAGGAAUUUGAUUCAAGCCAAUCUUUUGACUUGGAACAUCUGUUCAAUGGUUUUGUGGAUAAAGUCAAGCUUACCGUCAAUACCAUUGUCAGCAAUUUGUCGACAUACAUUCAGAACAUUUUCGAACCCCCUGCAGAUGACAAUGGCGACAAUGGCUCUCCCAGAACUGUUAUAGCAUCUGGGUUCAUGGGACUGGCAAUUAUGGUUGUAAUGGUGGUUUUGCUGAAGCGUGCCUAAAGCUUCAUCGCUCUGCACAUGAAUCAUCUGAAAAAGCAAUCCGGAAAUGCUUCUCGCUGCAUGAAUGUUUAAUAAAUAAGAUCGAGUUUUCCUUCUUAAUAUCCUUUGGCAGUACUUUUAGAGGAUUUUGCAUGUGAUUAUGUAUGACAUGUUUGUACAGCUUAUUUCUCAAACGUAACUUGGGCAAAUCUUAAUUUGCCAAAUACAUUGAUGCUGCUUUAUUUGUAUUGAUGCUGCUUUAUUUGUAUUGUGUUUCAACAGCAACUGUCCGUUUGAUCCUUAUUGAUUGUGUACAUGGAUGUUUUUUAUUUUUACUUUUUUAUUUUAGAAUUGGGUGUACACGUUCGCCACCUCGAAAAGUUGAAGGUGCACAUGCGAAUGUCAAAUUUGGGCGUAGUUGAUAUGUUGGUAGAAAUGUCAACUUCAUUUUGUACACCAGUAGAGAGUUUGGUUGUUGCCUUCCUGGAUGCCAGAAGAAGAAAUUUCCAUGUGUGCACCAUUUUUCAACACUAACAAUUACUAACUGUUAAAAACUUUAGUUAUCAAAUACCCUUAAAUUUGAACCAAUUUUUCCAGUGUUGAAUCAAUCAUCGACCAACAACCAGGCAGAUAUCAUUCCAAUUAGCAAAUGUACUGGAACUGGAACUGUUACGGAGGGAAAACAUGAGCUCAGUGUUGUAGAUCACAAUCCCAGAUUGUUGUACAUCUACAGACUUUCUCAGAGCAAGUAGCGGAACAGUCUGGCAGUUAGCUCUUCCCUCACCCAUUUGGACAAGUAGGGUUUCUGUGUACUGCAAAAGCUUCUUUCUUUUGUGCUAUGAAAAUGGAACUUUGAAACAUGUUCAGCGUGCGAUAUACUAAUGUUCAAUGUUCAAUAUGUCCUCUUUUGAUAUAUGCAUCUUGCCUUUAUCUCUUCUACUAUUUGCUUGAGUGCGAUCAGGUUGGCCCCGCUGAAAACAACAUUUACAUCCAUGUAAGAAUGGUGACAGCAACACAAAUUUACACGUAUUGGUUAUUUAGCGCCAAUAUGCACCCACCUUCCUUAAGACAAAUGACAUGUACAAAUAGGCUACUUCCCAUUCGUCUUGUGAUAGUGUACCUGGAUAUCACAAAGCAGGAAUGAAAAAUGUAUUAAAAACGAAACCAACCGGAGACUUCAUGUUAGUGAUAGAUGUUUAGGGCCAAACAAGUAUUGAGUAUAGAACAUACUCUGAUCUUGGUUACCAUCACCUAAUGCACCAAGCCUCCGCAUUAAUUCCACAUACUCUGGCCUUUUCAUGUACUCGUGCACGAAUUCAUGAGAGUUCUUCGCAAAAAUUAACUCCAUAUCAUACUGCAAGAGGUGCAAUACAUGUUAAAGUUGUAUGAGAAGAUUAACAGAGCCCGACACGUAAAGUAUCAACAACAUCAAAUCUGAACCGACUCAAAAUAGCUAAAUGAAUUUCAAUCUUCAUUUAUGGUCAUUUUCUAGCAUUUAAAAGAUGUCAUACCUCUUCUACCAAUGAUUUGAAUACAUGAAAGGGGACAAUCCAUUCAGGGCAAUCAACAGCAUCCUGCAAAGUGAAGAAUUCAAAUAUAACAUUUAGAAUAACAUUUUGAAGAUAACAACCACUAAUAGCAAAAGAACAUAAAGGAUCAAGUUAGAUACCUCCAGGUGAAACUUGUACUUGAUACCAAAGGGGCUUGAAGACUUGAAUUUCUGAGCGGCAAAUUAUACGUCAAAUUAGAAUAUAAAAGAUUCAAAUCAUAUAAAUAAAUAAAAAUCAUGUCUCUGGAGGAUAACUAAAUGAUUUCAGAUACCUUUUCAGAAAAUUCUUCAUCAAAUCGUAUCCAGUACACACUAUUUCCAAAGAACAAUCCUUCAGCUGAACAAUCAAAGACAAAAUCGCAUCAUCAAUCAAUAAUGACCAAAAGGGGGAAAUGUACAAAUUAUUUUGUAGGAUGCUCAAAAAUUGAGUACUCAGCAAGGAAGGAUCCUCACUGAGGGGUACCAUUUAGUGAAGUCCCAACACUGACAGAAUAGGUUGGUAAGGUUGAUUAAGGGCUUCACACAUUCUAGAGAGAAUCAGGGAAGUUACAUAUAACUCCACUGGUUUCAUUCACAAGUACUAUAAAAUCUUUAAAAAGUGGAUUAACAUGCCAACAAAGAUCCCAUAUUCCACAAUUUCUAUUAAGGAUCCUUCCACCCCUAUCCUAAUGAACUUUGCCCACUCAAACUGCUUAUGUGAGAAGUUACUCGACAUAAUGAAAGAGCAAGAUAUCUAUUUAUUUGGAUUCAAUGUUGCUUCUUUAGCAUCAAUAUAAAACAGAGGCUCUAGGGUGUAAAAUUACCUUCUCUCAGCUUUUUGAUGAUCACAUUGGCGUCUGGCAUUGUUCCAAUGAAAGUUCCGCCUGGGCGGAGUAAAGCUGAAACAUUCGCCAGGGCUCUCCGUGCACGUGCUUCAGUGGACCAGGAAUAAUGCAAGGCAAACUGCAAGAUAAAAUGUGCUUAGGCUUAUGAUGGUUCUUUUUUCAAAGGAUAUCCUCACUUCCUAUUUUAAUUAGUUGCAAUAUAAAUGUAAUCUAUUGUUCCAUGAAGGAUUACCUGGCAACUGCAAAUAUCAAAGGGUGCAUCAUCUGCUAGGGCUUUAUCCAGUCGAACCUGAAACCAUGAACAUGACAUCAAUAUUUAAUGGGUAACGAACCACUCUUACGAAUUAUGUCCACACAUGCUGCUAAUGGCUGAAAGGUUGACUGAACAAAACACAGGAAAGCUCACUAGGGAUAAAGAAUGGUUAAGCUAGCAGCAAUUACCUCAUAGCAGUCUCCACAGAUAAGACGUGCAGGAAAUGUAAACUUUUUACGGCGUUGAUGAUGAUCGGCAUCACCAUUGUAACGGGUACGACAAUCUUCUAUCUGUGAACAGUUUAAGAGAUGAUAAUAAGAUCAUCAAUGACAAAUGUUAAAACAGAAGGCUGAAAAAAUAAUAAUAAUAAUAAUAAUAAACAGGCUUCAGCAUGUCUUGACAAGGACUUGAGCACAUAUAUGUCAUUACUUUGUUGGUUUGUCCUUGGGAAAUACACCCACAAAAGCGAAAUGUCAUAUACUUGGAACAAGAAAUUGGGAAGGAUGGUACUGAGAAAAAAUUAAAAUCAUUUAGUGCUACAAAGAGUCUGAUGAAUCGUCAUAUUAUGAGCUUGUCCAGGAGUUUUGUUUUUUUAAUUCUCAAAAAUAAAAGAAAAAAAAAAACAAAACCCAAGAGAAUAACAACCAAAUGAAGUUCAGAAAAUAGUACACUCCAUGGAAGGAAAGAUCAGAAUCCAAUAUCAAACACGAAGCAUCAAAUAGUAGAAUUUUAUUUCCCAAGAAAAAGACUUCUAACCCACACCAAAUAAGAAACUGAUGAGCACUCUACAACAUUAACCAAGGACAAAAACCAAAUAACCGAAUACAAGAUACUUCAUAAUAGUUAUAACUUAGACCACAAAAAAUCUAUAAGUUUGUAUUUACACCUUCUGAGACAUUAGCCAGUAAUUUCAUGGAAAAGCAAUGAAAAGUGAUUCUAGAAUCAAAAUCUGGACUCCAACAACAAAUUCAGGCAAUGGAAAAUAAUUCCAUCGCAGUAACUAUCUUAUCAAAGAAUGUCAACCAAAGGAGUUAAUUAACGUAAAACAAUAAUUCAGCGCUUACCGAUCCUUCAGCAAUAUCAAUGCCAACGUAGUACCCAAUUUUGGCCUUGUCCCAUUUGAUGAGAUCACCUCCCUACCGAAAAUAAGAUAUUAGAAAUUGUUCAGUGAAACAAAAGGAGAGGAGUAGAUAAAUGGACUGCCAAUACCUUGCCACAUGCAAGAUCAAGAACAGCAUCUCCACGGCGAGCAUAGAGCUGAAUUAAGACGCUCUUAAUCUGUUCCAUAGGAAAAGGAACCAUAUCAACAACAAAACUACCGUGUUGUGUUCAAAACAUUCCGAAGUAUAAUGAAUACUAAAAGACCAACCCAAUUGUUAAGCUUUUUUAGAUGGAUGAUUGGGCUAGCUUCUCGUUCUUCCAGAGUUUGAUUUGUCCUUGCACUAUAAUGAUCGGCCACUUUUCGUGCAAAAAUCUUUGUGCUUUCAUCCUCCAAGAAAUUUGAAUCAUCUAAGAGCACAAUGCAAGACACUGAUCAAGACAAAACACCUAACAAAACACUUGCAUCCCCCAUCUUGCAUGCGUUGUAGGAAGUAAAAAAGAAGCCUCGAAUUCAGAUUUUUCAUCAUAUGACUAUUACCAUAUCCUUUUUCUUUUGCUUUGUUCUAGUAGUACGAAUAUGAAAAUUAAGUUACCAACAAUGCAAGGUGUCCCAGCUCGAAUUUAUCAGCAUACUAGUGCUACACCUAUUUUGAACAGAUAAUUCGUUCAAAGCUUUCAUCUUUCUCCCUUUCACUCACUUACCCAGCAACCCAAUACGUAAAAGACUACAAAACUACAAGACCCAGGUCUAAAACCCCUCAAACAAAUCAAAAAGAUCAAAACUUUACCGCAUGAAACUUAUAAAUCCGAACCAAAGAGCGAAAGGGUAUGUAAAUAUUACCUUCUGGGUUGGCUUUGAACCUCGAUUGAGGUGGCCCAACGGAGGUGGAGGACGAUUCCGAGUAGCCUCGUUUCAUGGCCAAGGAUCAAAAUGGCAGAAUCGAAUGGGGCUCAAAAUCAGAGCCUUGCUAUCAAAAAGCAAAGAAACAAAAAAUUGGUAUUGUGUUUUAUAAUGAGAGAGACAAAGGCUUAAAAGGGGCUUUGGGUUUGAGGUCCAGGAUCAGGAUGUGUUACAAGUAUAUAAAUAAAAUAGAAGAUAUAUUAUCAUUAGGAUCUGUGGCGCAAUGGUAGCGCGUCUGACUCCAGAUCAGAAGGUUGCGUGUUCGAUUCACGUCAGGUUCAAAUUUUUUGCUAUGUACUGGACUUUCUAGAGCCCUUUGAACUAAUUUUUUUUCUUCAUGAACUUUCCUUGUGUUAGUUCUGCAUUACUCUCCUUUUGUUUUCCCCCUUCUUUUUCCUUCACUUGACUAAUUUUUAGUUUGAUAAUUGGGAUACAGAGAUGAGAAGAUUUGGACUUUCUAGAGCUCCAAUGGAUUUUUUUUUUCUUUCUUUUCUUUGUGAUCUUUACAUCUGAAAAUCAUCAUUGCAUUUUACAUGUGCUAUAUCUGUACAGAAGUAUUUAGCAAGGUCUGGCUUCUCUGUUGAUUGUUGUUAACUUGGAGAAAUCUUGUAAACCACUGUACAGAAGAUUUAGGAAUCCUCGUAAGGUUCUUCUUGUAAUCGACAUAGUAGAGGCCAAAUCUCACAGUGUAGCCCAUGUUCCAUUCCCAGUUGUCAAGUAAUGACCACACGAAAUAACCACGAACAUCACAUUUGUCUUCCCUGCAUUGAUUUAGUUUUCUGUUAAGAAGCAUUUGCAAUGUUUUAUCUGGAAGAAUAGGAUUUCAAACUCUGCAUUAUUACCUUAUGGCAGCUGAUAGGUUUGAGAGAUAGUCCCUGUGAAAACGUAUCCUCUUCUCAUCAUUUAGAGCCUUUUCCAUAGAUGUGAAAGGUUUAUUUGGAUCAUCCAUACCUGAUUUCACAAUGUGAAGUGUUUGUUAUUUCAAGAAUCAUUGAUGGAUGAAACCAGAAAUCAGAACCUACUCACCAUUUUCUGUUAUCAUCAUUGGGGGGUUCCCAUACUUAUCUUUGAUGUAUCUUGCCAACUUUCGGAUUCCCCAUGGGACUAUGCGCAACCAGCGAGAAGCUGCCUGGAGGAGGAAGAACUGAUGAGCUAGAAUGAACUUAAAUAUCAAACCAAUGUUUAUUUCAGGGCUUUAUCAAGUGGUUGAGACGUACUUUUUCUCCAAUAGCCACUCCUCCUUUGUAAUCUACAAUCAAAAUCAGAUACAACAGUUAUAUCAAUUGAAAUUCUGAAUUAUUUUUGGCUCUAUGACUUGGUACUUUUAGCCUUCUAGGUAGUGCUUAGUUCACUAGAAUGAACCUUGGAAUGGAAUAAGCAUUCUUAUUGAAUGUUGACUUUCUUGUUUGGAAUAUAUCUAAUUUUCACUACUGCCACUUUAAUUCUUUCACUAUUUGUUCUUAUUCGCAUAUCUUUCCAUUCCAUUCCUAUGUUCAUUCCAGCAGCCAAACACUACCUGGUGGCAAAACAUUGUUCUGUGGCAUCUUACGUGUUGUAAUGACUGCAGCAUCAGAUGUAGCAUCCUGCAAUAUAAAUUUUCGAAUUCGUGUCCUGUCAUUCCGAGCAUAUAAUGUGGUGUAGUGGUUUAUGCCGAUAAAGUCCACUGAUCCCACGAGGAAUUUUGAAACUUCCUUCGAAAUUGCAGGUAAUCGCUUACCCACAAGCUUCUUCAUUGAGAGAGGAUAAUCGCCAAAAAAUAGUGGAUCAAGGAACCUGAUUCACUUUUUCUGUGUCAUAUAUGUUCUGUUUAUACACAUUUUGUUACUACUUCUAAAUGACAUGAAUAAAUAACAUUUAUAAAAAAGUUACCAUCCCAAACUGAACUCAUUCGCUCUAUGUGCUGCAUCUAUAUCCUCAUCAGUUUCCGAGAGAGGUUCAUGCCAUUUGGCAUCCAAUGAAAUUCCAAUCUGACCUCCUUGUUUCUCCUAGGAGUCCCAACAGAAGAAAAUGUAAAAAUAAUUAUAGAAUGAUCACUAAAAGAUUUGGAAGGUAUCACAUAUGCAAGGUUCUAAAACUCGGUCAACUCGGCCGAGUACUCGGCGAGUACUCGGUACUCGGGUAGUCACCGUGGCGAUUUUGGCCUACUCAGUGCCUCUAGUCGGCCAGCAGAAAAUCGGCCGAGUACUCGGUCCAACUCGGUCAACUCGGUCAGCCGAAAAAAAAAAAAAAGAGAGGCAAACGACGUCGUUUUGAAACCCUAAUAAGAAGAAAUGUCUCUAGUCUCUCGCUCGGUCGCUCCAGACGCUCAGUCCCGAACCUUGCUCUCCAGUCGCUCUCACUCCCUCUCAGUCGCCCUCGCCCAGUCGCUCUCCCUCACCUCGCCGGNNNNNNNNNNNNNNNNNNNNNNNNNNNNNNNNNNNNNNNNNNNNNNNNNNNNNNNNNNNNNNNNNNNNNNNNNNNNNNNNNNNNNNNNNNNNNNNNNNNNNNNNNNNNNNNNNNNNNNNNNNNNNNNNNNNNNNNNNNNNNNNNNNNNNNNNNNNNNNNNNNNNNNNNNNNNNNNNNNNNNNNNNNNNNNNNNNNNNNNNNNNNNNNNNNNNNNNNNNNNNNNNNNNNNNNNNNNNNNNNNNNNNNNNNNNNNNNNNNNNNNNNNNNNNNNNNNNNNNNNNNNNNNNNNNNNNNNNNNNNNNNNNNNNNNNNNNNNNNNNNNNNNNNNNNNNNNNNNNNNNNNNNNNNNNNNNNNNNNNNNNNNNNNNNNNNNNNNNNNNNNNNNNNNNNNNNNNNNNNNNNNNNNNNNNNNNNNNNNNNNNNNNNNNNNNNNNNNNNNNNNNNNNNNNNNNNNNNNNNNNNNNNNNNNNNNNNNNNNNNNNNNNNNNNNNNNNNNNNNNNNNNNNNNNNNNNNNNNNNNNNNNNNNNNNNNNNNNNNNNNNNNNNNNNNNNNNNNNNNNNNNNNNNNNNNNNNNNNNNNNNNNNNNNNNNNNNNNNNNNNNNNNNNNNNNNNNNNNNNNNNNNNNNNNNNNNNNNNNNNNNNNNNNNNNNNNNNNNNNNNNNNNNNNNNNNNNNNNNNNNNNNNNNNNNNNNNNNNNNNNNNNNNNNNNNNNNNNNNNNNNNNNNNNNNNNNNNNNNNNNNNNNNNNNNNNNNNNNNNNNNNNNNNNNNNNNNNNNNNNNNNNNNNNNNNNNNNNNNNNNNNNNNNNNNNNNNNNNNNNNNNNNNNNNNNNNNNNNNNNNNNNNNNNNNNNNNNNNNNNNNNNNNNNNNNNNNNNNNNNNNNNNNNNNNNNNNNNNNNNNNNNNNNNNNNNNNNNNNNNNNNNNNNNNNNNNNNNNNNNNNNNNNNNNNNNNNNNNNNNNNNNNNNNNNNNNNNNNNNNNNNNNNNNNNNNNNNNNNNNNNNNNNNNNNNNNNNNNNNNNNNNNNNNNNNNNNNNNNNNNNNNNNNNNNNNNNNNNNNNNNNNNNNNNNNNNNNNNNNNNNNNNNNNNNNNNNNNNNNNNNNNNNNNNNNNNNNNNNNNNNNNNNNNNNNNNNNNNNNNNNNNNNNNNNNNNNNNNNNNNNNNNNNNNNNNNNNNNNNNNNNNNNNNNNNNNNNNNNNNNNNNNNNNNNNNNNNNNNNNNNNNNNNNNNNNNNNNNNNNNNNNNNNNNNNNNNNNNNNNNNNNNNNNNNNNNNNNNNNNNNNNNNNNNNNNNNNNNNNNNNNNNNNNNNNNNNNNNNNNNNNNNNNNNNNNNNNNNNNNNNNNNNNNNNNNNNNNNNNNNNNNNNNNNNNNNNNNNNNNNNNNNNNNNNNNNNNNNNNNNNNNNNNNNNNNNNNNNNNNNNNNNNNNNNNNNNNNNNNNNNNNNNNNNNNNNNNNNNNNNNNNNNNNNNNNNNNNNNNNNNNNNNNNNNNNNNNNNNNNNNNNNNNNNNNNNNNNNNNNNNNNNNNNNNNNNNNNNNNNNNNNNNNNNNNNNNNNNNNNNNNNNNNNNNNNNNNNNNNNNNNNNNNNNNNNNNNNNNNNNNNNNNNNNNNNNNNNNNNNNNNNNNNNNNNNNNNNNNNNNNNNNNNNNNNNNNNNNNNNNNNNNNNNNNNNNNNNNNNNNNNNNNNNNNNNNNNNNNNNNNNNNNNNNNNNNNNNNNNNNNNNNNNNNNNNNNNNNNNNNNNNNNNNNNNNNNNNNNNNNNNNNNNNNNNNNNNNNNNNNNNNNNNNNNNNNNNNNNNNNNNNNNNNNNNNNNNNNNNNNNNNNNNNNNAUAUGUCACAUUGUGUUCUUGUUCAGUUGUUCUGUGUUCUGUGUCACAAGUCACAACAAUAGCAGCAUAUUGCUAUUGUUCUGUUGAGCAUAUUGUUCUGUAUAACUGUAUAAGAGGAGUUCGGUUCUGUUAUUGUGUAUUUGUGUUGCCAGUGUUGGUAUGCCACAGCAGCAUAUGUGUUCUUGUUGUGUUGUUCUGUUUUUGAUAUGUCACAUUGUCACUUUAGGAAAAUGGCCGGAACAAUGUCUUCUUCUGCAUCUAAUGCAACGUCGGAGAUGGAUAGACGGGAGUCAUUGAAGCGCAAUUCAAGUGAUGUUGGGUGGGAGUACGGGAUGUUGAUUGAUCCAAAGAGAUUAGAUAGAGUAAAGUGUAAGCUAUGUGGGCACGAGAUGUCUGGUGGAAUUCAUCGGUUGAAGCAGCAUGUUGUUGGAAUCAAGGGCCAAGUGGCACCAUGUCCCAAGGCUUCGGCAGAGGCUAAAACCAAAUGCAAGAAUGCUCUUGCUGAGUCAAAGGUUAAGAAGAUUCAAAAGACUGCACAUGAAGAAGAAGUGAGGCAAGAAGUUCUUAUUCUUGAUGGGGCUGAAGAUGAGGAAGCAAGUCAAGGGACAAGAAGACAGCCACAUACUCUUGGGCCUAUGGACAAGUUUGCUAACAUAAUUGAUCCCGAUGCUACAUUGAGUGGAAGCAAGAAUACAAGACAACAAAAUAUCCAUGACACACUUUUCAAGGAACGAACGCAUAGUGUGCAUCAAUUUUUAGCAAGAUGGGUGUAUGAAGUUGGAAUUCAUUUUCAUGCUAUUGAUAAUGAUAGCUUCAAGAGGUUUGUAGAAGCGGUUGGUCAAUUUGGUCCGGGUUACCGACCUCCAAGCCAAUAUUUAUUAAGGGAGCCGUUAUUGAAGGAAGAGGUAGAUAGAACUAAAAGUUUGUUGAAGACCCAAGAACAAGAGUGGGCUUCAAAUGGUUGCUCUAUUAUGACCGAUGCUUGGAGUGACCGGAAAAGAAGUAUUAUGAAUUUGUGUGUCAAUUGCAAGGAAGGCACAACUUUUCUCUCUUCUAAGGAGGCAUCAAAUGAGUCACACACCGGGGCGUACAUUUUUGAAUACGUGGACAAGUGCAUUGAAGUAGUUGGGCCACAAAAAUGUGGUUCAAGUGGUGACGGACAAUGCUUCAAAUAAUAAUGGCGGCGGGAGAGUUGAUGAAGGUGAAGNNNNNNNNNNNNNNNNNNNNNNNNNNNNNNNNNNNNNNNNNNNNNNNNNNNNNNNNNNNNNNNNNNNNNNNNNNNNNNNNNNNNNNNNNNNNNNNNNNNNNNNNNNNNNNNNNNNNNNNNNNNNNNNNNNNNNNNNNNNNNNNNNNNNNNNNNNNNNNNNNNNNNNNNNNNNNNNNNNNNNNNNNNNNNNNNNNNNNNNNNNNNNNNNNNNNNNNNNNNNNNNNNNNNNNNNNNNNNNNNNNNNNNNNNNNNNNNNNNNNNNNNNNNNNNNNNNNNNNNNNNNNNNNNNNNNNNNNNNNNNNNNNNNNNNNNNNNNNNNNNNNNNNNNNNNNNNNNNNNNNNNNNNNNNNNNNNNNNNNNNNNNNNNNNNNNNNNNNNNNNNNNNNNNNNNNNNNNNNNNNNNNNNNNNNNNNNNNNNNNNNNNNNNNNNNNNNNNNNNNNNNNNNNNNNNNNNNNNNNNNNNNNNNNNNNNNNNNNNNNNNNNNNNNNNNNNNNNNNNNNNNNNNNNNNNNNNNNNNNNNNNNNNNNNNNNNNNNNNNNNNNNNNNNNNNNNNNNNNNNNNNNNNNNNNNNNNNNNNNNNNNNNNNNNNNNNNNNNNNNNNNNNNNNNNNNNNNNNNNNNNNNNNNNNNNNNNNNNNNNNNNNNNNNNNNNNNNNNNNNNNNNNNNNNNNNNNNNNNNNNNNNNNNNNNNNNNNNNNNNNNNNNNNNNNNNNNNNNNNNNNNNNNNNNNNNNNNNNNNNNNNNNNNNNNNNNNNNNNNNNNNNNNNNNNNNNNNNNNNNNNNNNNNNNNNNNNNNNNNNNNNNNNNNNNNNNNNNNNNNNNNNNNNNNNNNNNNNNNNNNNNNNNNNNNNNNNNNNNNNNNNNNNNNNNNNNNNNNNNNNNNNNNNNNNNNNNNNNNNNNNNNNNNNNNNNNNNNNNNNNNNNNNNNNNNNNNNNNNNNNNNNNNNNNNNNNNNNNNNNNNNNNNNNNNNNNNNNNNNNNNNNNNNNNNNNNNNNNNNNNNNNNNNNNNNNNNNNNNNNNNNNNNNNNNNNNNNNNNNNNNNNNNNNNNNNNNNNNNNNNNNNNNNNNNNNNNNNNNNNNNNNNNNNNNNNNNNNNNNNNNNNNNNNNNNNNNNNNNNNNNNNNNNNNNNNNNNNNNNNNNNNNNNNNNNNNNNNNNNNNNNNNNNNNNNNNNNNNNNNNNNNNNNNNNNNNNNNNNNNNNNNNNNNNNNNNNNNNNNNNNNNNNNNNNNNNNNNNNNNNNNNNNNNNNNNNNNNNNNNNNNNNNNNNNNNNNNNNNNNNNNNNNNNNNNNNNNNNNNNNNNNNNNNNNNNNNNNNNNNNNNNNNNNNNNNNNNNNNNNNNNNNNNNNNNNNNNNNNNNNNNNNNNNNNNNNNNNNNNNAUUCGGAGGGAGUACAAGAUGGAUAUGGAGAAGAAGAAUUUGAGGCUAUAGUUACAUAUGCUUGGGAUUGUUGCAAGAAUUGAAUUUGGUUUGCUUUUAUUACUUAUGUUAUUGUAAUGGACUAAUGGUUGUUUUAUUUUUAGACAUUAUUAUCUCUUAAAUAUUGUAAUAUUUUAUGGACUAUUUUAUUAUUUAGACAUUAUAUAUUAGAUUAUAUGUUUUAAAAAUAAUAAAAAAUCCAGAAAUUAGAAUCCGAGUACUCCCCGAGUACUCGGCCGAGUACUCCUCUACUCACUACUCACUGGCCGGCCGACCGACUACCGAGUAGCGAGUUUUAGAACCUUGCACAUAUGGAAGUGAGGGUACCUUGAAAUAUUGCUGGUAUGUAUGAUAAGUAGCAGCAUGGGACAGGAGGAUGUUGUGAGCGACAAUGUAUGGUUCAACAGAUGAAUUUCCUUUCUUACAAAACAAGUGACCAAGAAUAGAACAUCGUCCGGGAGCUUGUAUUCCCAAGUCAUAACUUUGAAGUGCAUAACCAUGAGGCUCGUUGAAGGUGAUCCAGUUCUUAACUCUAUCUCCAAAAGCUUGGAAGCAGGUGAUGGCAUAAUGUUCAAAGUCUUUUCUGCAAGUGAUUGAGGUAAUUAUAAGCUUAGUCAAAUCAGUACUCUAGCUUAUAACAUUUUCUGUAACUGAUAUUACAACACUUACACUAUCUGUGUGCUCAACCAUCCUUCAUAUUUGUCUUCAAGCAUCUGCGGAAGAUCCCAAUGAUAUAGAGUUACAAAAGGCUGGAUCCCUGAUUGGAAAGAAUUCUUUGACCUUUCAGUAAUGUUUCUGCUUCAAAGUAGAAUUACAUUCUUAAAAGUCUCAUUGAUUUACCUUUUUCAAGUAAAGAAUCUAUAAGGCUAUUGUAGUAGCUUAUUCCUUCUGAGUUGGGUGCUCCUGUUCCAUCUAUUCAACGAUAGUUUCAUAAACAGUUAUCAGCUACAAGGCAACUUGUCAUGAAGAAGAUAAUCAGAACAGAAUCAAAUCUUACUUGGAAAAAUUCGUGGCCACGAUAUUGAAAAUCUGUACGCAUUUACUCCCAUAUCCUUCAUCAAGUCUACAUCACCCUGUAAAUUUUGAAUGCUUAAUUUCCACUUGGAUAAUAAAUUUUUUUUGUUUAUACCAACAAGAAGGGUAAUGCCUCGCUGUCAUCGAUCAUAAUCAUUCAAUAUUCUUACAUUAUAUCAUAUACUAGUUUCAUUAUUGUUGCAAGAUUCCUCAACAUAAUGUUCAAGAAAAUACCCUUCUACCAGAAUGUGACAGGUUAUUAUGUGCUUAUUCGAUAAGAUAUCUUUGUCUAAACAAGAAAAAAUCUUGGAUUAAAUGUAAACAAAGUGAGUUGGAAGAAAUGAGCUUGCUUGUUAUCUUAAAACUCUUCAAAAUGGAAACACUGAAGUCAACUAAUGUCAUAUUCACUUCACCUGAAAUCUGUGAUAUUGAUCAACAGCUGUGUCUGCAUUGCUGAAAUCUAAAAUCUUCCCUGUCAAGCAUAUCAAAGAAGGAAAUUAAGCAAUUGCAUAUUGGCUUUUCCGAUGAUGUAUUCUGUGACUCUAUGUGCUUCAUGUAAACUAGCUAUUGAAUAUGAAUUCUACCUGGUACUUUUGUGAAAGUAUCCCAUACACUAGCUCCCUUGUUUCCUUCAUUCACAGCUCCCUCAAACUACCAAAUACAAACCAAAUAAUCAUCAAACUGAUGCUCUUAAUAUGCAGGAUAGCUAGCUCCUUAAUGUUUUGUUAAAACAAAAGCACAUAAGUACCUGGUAUGCCGAAGAAGCUGUUCCGAAAACGAACCCUUCAGGAAAAUCAGCUCUGCUAAGAGAUUGAGAGAUUGUAAAGAGCCUGGUUAUCAGUAACAGGAUGAUGCAUAGUUUCAUGGUGAAGCAGCCUUCAGUUUCCGAGCUGGAAGUUCCUCUGGUGUUCCAGGUAACUUUCCAGCCUCAUUGAAGAACAGAAUGCUUGCUUUUUGGGAAUUCUAAAUUUUAUAGAGGCCGUUUAAGCUGUCGUAACUGUAAAGUGAAGAAUAUAUAGAAGAAGAAACGGGCAAAAGCAGCCGCGAAGAAGAAGGUGACACAUGUGAUUUGUUUUUAGAAGAAUAGAUAUUUUCUUUUUUCGUUUUCAACUUGCUUGAUAGCAUGACAUGCACUAUGAUGUUGAGUGUCCGAACAAGUUAAGACUUUA
rnacentral:lncRNA from 1 species